UUCCUCAUGGAGAUAUAAAGAUGUCAAAUUAACAAGCUGAAAUGAAAAGAAAAAUCGAUGUGUGAGAAAACAAGAGAAACAGACUCACAAAAGCAGCAGCGAAAGUACCAUGGCAACCACCACAUCACAGCCUUUACCCUGAAGUGUCAAGAUCUAUAGCUAAAAUCACACUUUUGACAUUACUUCCAAGACCUCAAGGAGUCUCUUCAGGUUUUUUCUCCCCUACUGUUUCAGUAGUUUUAGUCUCAGUCUCCACAGGUUUUUUCUCCCCUAAUGUUUCAGUAGGAAAAAAACAUUUAUAGAAAAAAAACGAUGUUGUUUAAUUUUUAGCCAAUUAAAUAUUGAAUGAUGAAAUAGAGUAAAAAAUGAUAAAAAAAAAUUUGGUAUAAGCCAACCCAAUCCAACACAGUAGACAUGUAAUCUGAAUAUUAAGGGGCGAGCUAGUCCAAAUUAACCUGACAAACUUGCAUUUUAGGUCAUAAGAUUGAGAUAAUUUGAUAGAAAAAAUAAAUUAAAGAAAACCACAAAACAAUUUUUUUUCAAAAAAAAAAACAAUGUUGAACAAAAAUAUCAAAAAACAAAAUAAGAUAAAAAAAAAUAUCAACUCCUGUUAACUUUUCAAACAUGUUGUUCUAGUUAUCAAAUCGAAAGCACUAUACAUGAAAAAAUCAUGAUUCCAAUCCUUGGGAAAUGAAACGUUGAAUAAUGAAAUCGAAAAAAAAAUUACACAAAAAAUUCCAAAAUAGAAAAUAUCAAUUAAAAAAGAGGGUUAAAAUCAAAAUAAAAAAUAAAUUAUAGGGCAACAAUAAAUUUUCACUUUGAGAGUUAAAUUGAAAAAUAAUCAAAAGAAUAAAGACCAAAAUGAAAAGAAAAAACAAUACACUAUUAAUUUGGAUUGAAGAGGGAAAUUAAAAAUAAUAAAAGUUUUACAAAGGGGUUAAGGAAAAAAAAUAAAAAAUCAUAAGAAUUAGGAUCAAAUUGAAAACAUCAAUACAUGAUAAAAAAAAUAAAAAAAAAUAAAAAAAAACUUGUAGUAUUUUUCAAUGUGUUUUUUUAUAUUAAAACAAAAUCAUAGAUGUAAAUCAAAAAAUUUAUGCACGCAUUAAAUUAAAUAAAUCUUGAAUCAUUGUGUAAAUAAAUAAAUAAAUAAUGAAUGAUAAAUAAAAACAUAAUUGGAAAAUUGAGAGAUAAAUGUAGAUCAAGAUAUUUAAUAUCACAACAUGGGUAAUUUACCUAAUUGUGUUUAAUGAAUUUGUUUAUUAUUUACCGGCAAGGUGGCUGGCCACGCGCAUAGACGCGCGCCACGUGUCGCACGCGUCUUCUUCGCCCGGAUGGGCUGACCCGACUCGAAUACCAUUUGACCCGACCCAUGUGACUGACCCGGAUAAUGAUGAUGUCAUCAUGACGUAAUAGUGACAUUAGCAUGCACAGUAGGCAUGCAGGCAUGCCCAGGAUGACGUCAACCUGAUGUAAGUGUGACAUCAUCAUGCACAGUCAACAACCAGUCAGCUGACACAUCAGCACAGGGGACCCACCUGCCAUGUCAUCAGCCGCGAGCUGAGCCAAGUUAAGCCGAGCCAUUGUGAGCCGAGCCGAGCCGCGAGCUGAGGGAGAAGAUUCUGUGCAGCGGAGUCUACGUGCAACCGGAUCUGAGAUUGAAUCUGGGUCGUUCAUCAGGCCAGAAUUGUUUUGAUCAAAUCUUAGCCGUCUGAAAUGCAAUUUGGACGAUUUCAGACUUGUUUUCCAGCUAAUUUGAUUAUUCCGGAUGCAAUGGUGUGGUCCGAUUGUUGAGAUUGAGACCAGAAAUGAUGGUGGUGAAGUAACAAAAGAGAUUGCCCAAUUAGGAGGCAUCUAAAGGUUAUCGUGGUGGUCGAUAGAGAUGAAGAAGGUGCACAUGUUUACCCAAUUACAUAUGCUGAAUUGAUUAGUGAGAAUUUUUUCAGUUGCCUUGAUGGAAGGCAAAAUUGGGACAGUCUGGACACCCAAUCAAGUGUACAAUUAGAGGUGUAGAGUGAAAAUUGAUGAAGACCAAUCUUGACGAAUCUAAGCACUGGUAGUCUCGCCAGAUGUUGAGAAAUGAUGUAUUAAACCAGUAUAUUCCAGGUCACUUGUAAAGGAAAGCCGCAACAAAGCUAGCAAAUGGUUGUAUAUACGGAAAGACAGUAUGAUGGAUAGAUAUGGCCUAAGAAGUUCUGUCUAGGAGAUUGGGUUUUAAGCGGGACUAGUGUGACCCCUCCAAUCUUUCCUAGGAACUUGCUUAGUGGAAGGAUUAUCCAUACGGUACUAUUUUCGUAUAUACAGCAGUUUGUAAUGAAACGGUUGAAGACUAGCAAGACGACGGCACAAGGGAACAGUUGGGUUCCAUAUUUUCAAAGAUCUAAUGUAGUGAUGAUUUCUCCAAAGAAGUUAGAUUCGGUGACUGUGAUUUCUCGAGGGGAGAAUUGAUGAAGACCCUGAUAAAGAUUGGCACCCUAUUUUGACUUGGACAGGUGUUGUGACAGGAUGAGCUGCUAUCAAACAAUAGCAAGGAAUAGGGAGAAAUCUGGAGAACAGAAAUUGCAUGAUGGCACACAAAGAUUGUGCAGGAGUACCCGUGAUUCAACGAGGUACUGUAAUGAGACAACAGGUGCAAGGAGAAGAAGUGUUCCCAGAUGAUGCUCAAAGCAGAGACUAUGUGUGAAGGUUGGACAACAGGAAGUCUUUUAUGCUCUUGAUGAAGACAACAGACGAAGACCUUUCCAAUGCAUGCAAGGAUGGAAAGAGAGCUGUUGCAGAGGCACCUAAUUGAGGGGGUGCAAAUGCCUGUGACACAAGGCAACCGCCUAUGAUGAAAGGCGAAGACACCAAAGAGAGUGGUGUAGGUGGAGCUGUCAAGUAGAAAGGCAUAGAAGCUCCAAACAUAGAAAUCGAGGUGGAGGAUUGCGAGGAGUAUACCGCAAGUUUCUCUUUCUAUGGAAUUAGUGGCAGUGAUCUCCCAUAGUCCACAUGGUGGUAGAGAAUUUUCGGAGCCACUUUGAAGCAUCUCAACUAUAGGAGGAUGCGACCGCCUAUGAAAGGCGAAGACACCUUAGAGAAGGUGUGAGGGCUAUGGAUGAGCCCCGGAUCAGACCGCCCCAUGAUAACGGGCGAAGACACCUUAGAGAAGGUGUGUGGGCCGUGAUAGGAGCCCAAGUUCAGACCGCCCAUGAUAACGGGCGAAGACACCUUAGAGAAGGUGUGAGGGCCAUGAUAGGAGCCCCAGUUCAAACCGCCCCAUGAGAACGGGCGUAGACACCUUAGAGAAGGUGUGUGGGCCACGAUAUGAGCCCAAGUUUAGAAUGCCCCAAAGCCAAUGUGAUGGCUGGAUAUGAGUGGACAGGUGUAUAGCCAAUGAAGUGGCUAUGAUGAGUAUGGAGACAAAUGCAGGAUUGACUUUCAUGGAUAUUUCCCCCAUGCUAAAGAUCAAUGAGCUAGAAGACAUUUGCCUUGGAUAAUAAGUGGAUGACUUGUGGAGCAUUAAGACGCGGCUGCUAUGAAGAAGCAGAGGGCAUGCACAGGUUCCUGGAACAAGUUGACUCUUGUCAAGGUGGUGAGCUCGGUGAAGGCAUUGUAAUACUCAAAGUAUCAAGACAUAUAUGGAUCAACCUUUAAUGGGUUGCCCUCAUGGUUAAAGAUGGAGAGCUACCUGGACUCUUAAGACUAAGAGCGAGAGACUCACGGAGAAGUAAGGCGUGGUUCCUAUGGUGGAACAGAGGGCAGACACAACUCCUGGAUGAGUAGACUCUUGGAAGAGUGGUGAGCUCGUGAUCAUAUUGAGAUACUCAGAUAAUGACUGUCGCACUUGGAAUAUCCGUUUGAAGGGGUGUUGUAUGCCUUGGUGUGAGGCUUGAUGAAUCAUUCCGGACCGAGCAUGGUUGAUACGCUUGAAGGGGAAUGUUGUCCCAGAGACAAGCGUUAACACUCUUCAGAUGUGAUGUGGCAGACCAUCUGGUUGUAGUGAUCCUUUUCUGUGAGAAAAGGUGUGUUUUGGUGACUCUGGUGAUUGAAAGGUGUGGCAUGUACCUGUAAACUUGGCCAGAGACGCUCUCAGAAUGGUAAGCUUGGAAGAGUUGCAAAAUGCAAGCCUGUGCUGAAGAAGCAAGCGGACAGUUGCCCCACAUGAAUGGCAAAGGGGGUGAUUGUUGGGUUGGUUGCCAUUAAUGUGCACCAACUAUUGACAAUAGCAAUAGCUGCAGCUGGAGUUGCACCAACCAUGUGCACCCAUCCAAGAUGUCAAAGGUUGGCAGCCACCAUUGUUGAAGAAGAGCUGGAGUUGGCAGCCACCUUUGUUGAAGAAGAGCUGGAGCUGGUGGCACCAUUCUUGCCUAUAAAUAGGCAGCAAGAGAGUAGAGCAAACCGAGAUGAGAGUGGUGAGAAAUGUAGAGAGCAAGAGAGAAAGUGGAGAGCUGCAAUGGCAGCAGCCUUGCUGCCAUUGCAGUAGCUGCAAGUGUAGCAAUGAGAGCUGGGAGUUGAGUUUGAGUGAAGUGAUCCUCCUCCUCCAUGUAUUGUGUUGUAAUCCUUUCUCUAUCUCUAAAUAAUAUUGACUCUCUCCCGUGGAUGUAGGCGGUUUUGCCGAACCACGUUAAAUAUUGUGUCUUAGUGUGUUUAGCCUCCUUUGAGCAAUUAUCAGUACACUACCGGUCGGAAUUCCCAACACUGCUUACAGAUGUUUAAGGUGUGGAACUUUCUCGAUAGCCUUUGGGAGAGUACCGUCAAGAUCUUGCCUUUUGAGAUAUCUGCAUUGCAAGAACACAUGGACCCAUCAACUCCUCAAUACAAGGUAAGAAUUCAAAACUUUCAACCAUUGCAAAUCAACAAUCAUAUGUGAAGAAAAUAUAAGACAUAACUACAACAGCCAAUGGAAUAGAAAACCAAAUUUUUGAAUUAAAAUUUAAUGUUUAUAUUAUUCUCUAACAUAUUUUUUAAGUAAAAAACUUGAGAUUCGAGGCCCAUACAAUUUUGUACUUAAUUUUUAUCAAAUAGAAUAAUAGGAGUGAUAAAAUUUGAACUCAUGAUUACUUGAUCAAUAAAACUCUGUUUCUAUAUCAAAUAACCAUAUCAACCCUAAAAUUUAAGCUGUUAGAUAAAACUUCGAGAUAUAAUUUAUAUUAUUUUCUAAUAAGCUCGGCUUUUCUUCAAACUCUUAAGCCUAAACUUCUGACAAAUGCUCAAUUUUCUUUGUUGGAGAUCCUUUCUUUGCUAUUCACGACAUUUUCAGCAUGAUUAAGUUUUCCUUGAGAUCCUUAUCAUACUUGUUUUUAGAUAAUUUUACUGCUAAUGAAUUUAUCCGAAUUUCUUAAUAUAAAAUUCAACUAUCGAAAUGGGGUUUCUGACGAGACUUUAUACACCACAACUAUUCCUUCAUUCCCUGAACUAGCCCCAUCAGAAUCCUUCAGACCUUAAAUUAAAAUUGAAAAUAAAAGCAUUGUGUGGUAAGUGAAGAGAUAUACAUGGCAAUAACGCGGCACACACCCCCAGGAAACGAGCAGUUGCAAACAACUUUAUUGUCAGCAUCUGGCUUUGGAGGUAAAAUUGUAUCAUUGCACAAUUUCAUAUUGCGAUUCCAGCCUUUUUUGCCCAGUUGUGUUGCUACUUCAAGUAGAGCUUCCACUGCAUAAAUCAAAAUUAAAUCUCAACUUCUAAUUCUGGGAUGAUUAGUUGGUGGCUUUUACAAUGCCUUGCCAAGAAAUGUUUGCAAAAAACAAAGAUUAAUUCUGUAAAAAAAUCACUGCAUGAUGCCAUUACUAACAUGGUUUCAGAACUCGGCAAUACAAUCAAAUUUGAUGACUGUAUUAUCAAAGAGUAUGAUGCACUGAGGAUUUUGCAGAUAAAAAUACCCCUGCUUGAAGAAGGCAUUACAAGUGUAUGUCUUCCUCUAAACAUUAAAGAAUCUGCCCAUCUGAACCAAAUUAAAAAUAUAUAUAUGUACCUUCAUCAGGAGCAAGGCUCCCAACUUGGGCCUCCAAGUUAAUUGCUCCCAUGCAAAACAUUAGUAACAUAAGCAUAAGUAAGCUAGAUGUGACUCUCAAAAUAUCAGAGAGUGCAGUAGCCAUCUUCCUUUGUCUGCAAUCCACUUUAAGAGUUAGUAGGCUGCCUGCAGAGAGCUUUAUGCGUUAUUAUAGUUGACCUUUCAGGAUGAUGUGAGAUCUUUCCAUUUUUUCUCUAGCCAACGGGAAGAUUGGUAGGUCAAAAAUAAUAAUAAAAUUUCAAUGGGAAAUUGGAGAGGAAGUAUCCGAACUAAGAAAGAAGAAUUUUACGUUCACGUAUUCAUUUGUGUGUGAAAUGGAGAAAAGAUAGGCUAUAAUUCUUUGAAUCCACAAAACCAUGAAAGAGACUCAUUGUAUAUAAAGAUUUAAUAUUCGAGCCUCACUGGUAGUUUCUUAAAAAGAUGGUGUAUCAACGUUUUAUUAGCUAUCGUUUAGUUAUUAUCCCGUGAUAAUAGAAACAAAAAUAAUAGAACCAAAAAUAUAUUUAAUUAAAAAAAUAAACAUAUAAAAAUAAACUUGUUUUUAAAAUAAUUUUAGAUUGAAUUUUUGUAUUUUUAAAAUAAAAAUAUAGGGAAGAGAUGCUAUAUUUUCAGAAACAAUAUUUUUUAUUUUUUAUUUCUAAAAUAUUUUUGUAAAAUAUAUUUAUUAAUCCAAUUGUAUUGAAUAAUAUCUCAAAAUGAAAUAUCUUAAAGAAUAUCAUUUCAUAGUUGGAUUCCUACCAGUCUCUCUUGAGUGGCUCUAUGAGAUUCCGUGUGUUGGUUUUCCAGUCCUCCACACUAUUUGGCCAAAAUACUAAAUCAAUUUUUAUAUUGUUAUUGUUAUUAUUAUUAUUAUUAUUAUUAUUAUUAUUAUCAUUAUUAUUAUUAUUGACAUUGACAAAGUAUUUUGUUUUUACAAACGGAUGCGUUAGGAAAUUAAUAUAAACCAAUGGUUAUAUAAAAACAAAUUGAAGUUUAAAAAGAGAAUGUGUUAGUGAGUUAAUUUAAAAUAAUUUUUGAAAUUAUUAAGUUUAAAUUUUUUAAUUGAAAUAAUUAUUUGAUACAUAAAUUAUAUCAUAAGCAAAUUAAAUAAUUAAUAUAAGACUGCAAAUCUUUUGAGGCAAUAACUCGAUGCCUGCAUCAAAAUAGAAGAGGGGUAUCAGAAAUGCUUUUCAUUAAUUAAUGAUUAAUUAGAAUUUAGUGUUUAUUUUUUAUUAAAAUAAAUUAAUUAAUUGCUGUCAUAUAAAAAAUAAUUAAAUCAUUACUAUUUUAGUGUUUACCAUGCUUAAUUUAAUAGUAUUUUAUUUCAGAAAAUGCCUUUUAUUAUCAAACUUUCUAUCCUAAGUACUUAUUUCUUAAAAUAAAAAAUCAAAACAAAAUGAAAACGAAUAUGACAUGGACAAAAAGGAUGAAACUAUAAAUGAAUAUAAAAUAUUGGGAUUAAAUAAUUAUUUCUAAAAAUUACCAACGAGGAUUAACUAAUUGUUUUUAUUAAACUACAAAAACUAAAUUAUAAUUAACUCUUAAUUAAUCUUUUGGCCCUAAUCAACGUUAAAGUUAGUAGCAAAAACUUAAUGAGAAAUAGGUGCCAAUUCGAUGCAUUAAUCAUCAAUGAUAAUUGUAAAUUGUCAAAUAAUCAUGAAAACUACUUGAGUUAUGCAAAAUCUAAUUGAUGAAUUUAUAUUAUUUUUAAUAUAUUUUUCCAAAUAAAACUCUAUUAAAUUAGAAAUUUGUAUUAUUAUUUUGUGUUUAAUUUUAUUAAUUUAAUCAAGAAAACAAAUAGGAUAAUAAAAUUAAAAAAUAGGUCGAAAAUAAAUCCAAAUACCGCAGGAAUAUCCAAUAGCAGACAUGAUAUCAUUUACCAACACGUGUACAGUUAAAGUUGAAGCUAAUGAUUCUUUUUGUCGACGACUGGUGCUUAUAAAUUUCUCAUCAACAAUUCAGUGCUCAUGCCAGGACAACAUAUCCUGCUUCGAUCUAAAUUCAUGAUAACCAUUAACAAAAAAAAAUUAAAUAAAUAAAAACUAAAAGAUCUGUUUGGAAGUGUAAUGCUUUUAUAUACUUUUUAAAAAUAUAUUUGUCUUAAAAACUAUUUAUAUUUUUUAGUAUUUUUUAUAAUUUUAAUAUAUUAAUAUUAAAAAUAACAAAAAAAUAAUAUGUAAAAAUAUUAUUUUAAUAUGUUUUCAAAUAAAAAUCAUUUUUUAAAAGGUAUAAUGCACUACAUCAUCAAAGAGGUAAUGUUUUUACUUUAUAUCAUCUCACAAAAUUAAUAUUUUCUUUUGUUAUUUUGUCCCUUUAUUUUUUAAAAAAAAUCUAUAUUUUCCUAUUCUUAAUUAAAAAUAUAUCCUUCUAAGCAAAAAUUAUUUAACUGAUAUUUAUGGGUUUUUUGUAUUUUUAUCAUUGUUUUUUUCAUAAUCAAGUUAAUUUAAAAGUAAUUUAGUUAUUUAACAAAUAUUAAUAUUAAUAAAACAAAGUGAUUCACAUGUGCAUUGCACAUAUUGAUGUUUGGCAAUCAAACAAUGGCUUCUGGGUAGGCAUUCGAGUCAUCUCGAUAGCCUCUGCAUCCCUGGGCAAAGUGUAUGGCCAACGAACCUUUGGAUUGGUUCAUUCAACUUUUUUUUCAAUUUCUUUUUUCUUUUCUUCUUGGUUUCCAUGUCUAACCUUUCAAAUUUUCAAAGCAACCAUUUAAUUUGAUUUUCCUUCCAAUUUGGUCCAUCUUUAUAGAAUUGGAUUUUUUUUCAAUUUCAUCCUCCUUUAAAUUUUUUUUAUCUAUCAGAUUUGGUCAUCAUUUUUUUUAUUGCUAUUUAUUUUAUUUGAAAUGGUUUUUAAAAUUGAAUUUUUUAGGAUUUCAUUCUCCUUCAGUUCUUUUUCCUACAAGAUUUGAUUUAUAUUCUUUUAAUUGUUAUUUUUUCUACUAUGAUAAAUUUUUUAAUUUGAUUUUUUUUUCAAUUUCAUCCUUCAACAUUAAAUUGGCUGGAAAUUGAGCUUAUUGAUUAAGCAUGGGUUGAGGAUUUCAUGAGUUGCGAAUUUUGAAGAUUAACUCAGGUUUAGGAGAUUCUCUAGAAUUUGCUUGGUUGUUUUUUUCAAUUUUUAAGCUCAUGUUUUUUUUAGUUUCAUCCAUUGAUAUUUAUUUAAUUAGAGAUUAGACUUCGUUAUUUUUUAUUUUUUUUCUAUAUGAAUUUUCACUGGGUUUGAAAAAUGACCAGGGUUUUUCUUAUAGGAUAUAUAGAUGGUAUUAUUAUAGGAUUCCAAUUCAUCCCAUAGUUGUUUUUUUAGUUUUCUGUAGUAAGCCGUAACAAUCAUAUGACCUUGAGUAAGGUAAGAAAUAUCUCAUUCAAUUUGAAAAAUACAAAGAGCAUUGCCUUGUGAAAAACGAUCUCUAAGGUCUUUCUAUACUUCUUGUGUUGUGGUUGAAAAAAUAACAUUGUCUGCAAUGUCUUAUGUGAGUGAAUUAAGGAUAAAAAAAAUCAUAUUAUUGUAUUUUUUCCAUAAGGCAUAUUCAUCUAGCUUGUUUCUUUCAAUGACAUGGAAAUGGUUCCAUUUAUAGAACCUAGCUUGGAUUUGGCAUUCAACAAAAUCAUCGUGGUCGUGCACCAUACAAGAGGCUUUGAGAUGAGCACCAUAUCUAGAUGAUCUGAAUGGUACAAAGAAUAUGGAUUGUUGUUUAAUGGUUGAUGUUCCUCCAUGAUGAUUGAUAGUAGCAGGAAAAAAAAAGAAUUACUAGAAAGGUUAGGGUAUUAAACCUAACUCUAAUACCAUGUAAAGAAAAUAAAAUAGAAAUUUAUAUGUAUUUUGUAUUAGGAAACAUUUACUUUAUAUAAGAGAGUUGCUAUAAUUAUGUUUUUUUAUUAUAAGUAGUCUAAGUGUAAAAGGAAAUUAAAAAUAAUUACAGGAAAAUUACAUUAAAUAAAAUAUAUUCUCUUUGAAUGAACAUAUAUUUUCUAAUACACAGAGCAUUCUCCAUCAUUCUAUACUGCUAUAAAACAAAUGGUUGUUUGGAUUAGUUUUCUUUUACCACCUUAACAUAUAAUAGUGAACAUCAUAAGUUCAGGCAAGCAAACACAUCAGAAAAACUGAUGGGAUUAGAGAACAUCAACACCAUAGCAAUUAUAAGGCAAACCAAACACCAAGCAGUUUAUCUUAGAUAGGGCGUACUAGGGGUGCUAAAACCUUCUCUUUACGCAACUAGUCCCUUGCCUUAGAAUCUCUGAAAGACCAGUUAGGUUUUCUAAUGACUAUAAUACUAGGUAGCGACUCUCUUUUUCACAAAACAAAGACCCAGACAUCAUUCCCUGCUCUUGGGAAGGGUCGCCGCAACGCCGCGCUCUUGCGAGGGUGCGACAAGGGGGAAAAACCUUCUUGUCCUGCCUGCAACGCGUCUAGGUGAAGAAGAUGGCAAGUAGUGCCAUCAAAAUGGCAUCGUUUCGUCUGUCUUUUUUUAUAACAGUGAAUGAAACGACGUUAUUUUGUACAAAAUGUGUUAUUUAAUUUAAAAGAAAAUGACGCCAAAAAAUCUUUGUUUCCAAAUCAGUCCUCAAUUGAGAUUUUGGUUUUAAUAAUCAAUUCAAUUGCAUCCCAGCCAAAUUUAAAUGUUAGCUCUGAAGUUAGUCCCCUUUUUCACUUUAAUCCUUGGUUUUGAAUUUGUGUAUUUUGACCCUCAAUUGUUCAACAAACUUCCAAUUUCUUCAAUUUAGCCCCUGAUUCAGUCAAUUUCAGCCCCUAUAUUAGCGUCUUUUUCAUUUUGGUCCUUAGUUUUGGAUUUCUUCAAUCAAGUCCCUAAUUGCCCAUCAAACUUCAAUAUUUACACAAUUAAGUCCUCGAUUUGACCAAAUUAAAUCUUAUUAAAUAUUAAAAAAUUUUAUGUGACCCCUAAACUUUAAUUUCUUCCAAUUAAAGCCUAAAUUAACUUUAAAAAAUCAAAUUUUCUUGCAAUUAAACCCUCCAUAAAUUCAAUUAGACCUUAAACAAAUUCUAAUUGGUUCCUCAAACAUCCAAUUUUAAAUUUUUCUUCCUCAAAUUGAAUUUUCUUUAUCAAUAGAGCCUUCAUCAGUCAAAAAUAUACUGUUAAAUUUUAAUCUUUGUAUUUUUGAACUUCCUCAACCAAUCUUUGGUCAUUUUCUGGGUGCCCCCGUGUCCUCUUUUCACUGCUAUAUAUUUUUUGGUUUUUUUCCGACAAUGUUUUUUAUUUUUUGAUUUUUUUUGUGUGGGGACCUAAAAAUAGAUAAUAACAAAUCAAAUUGAAAAUUUCAAAAAAUUCACUAUUAAAAUCCACGUUGAUGAACAAUAAUUAACAAUAAAAACAGUACAAUAAAAUCUCUUUCUUUUUUAGUUUAUACUAUAAUUUUGGAAAGGAAUUGGGUCCUUUAGGCCAUUCUAGGGACGAAUAAUGCUGAGUAUUUGGGCUGUUGAAUGGUUAAGAAACUACAGGUGUAUGUAGUCUUUAUAUGUACAUGUGAUCCCGCAUGAAAAAGUUAAGAAAUCAUUCUGUAUUUUUUAUGGAUAUAUAUAAUUAUUCCACGUAGAAAAAUUAAGAAAAAUUUUAUGGGAAAACAUUUCAUAGAGUCUUAAACUAUAAAUAUAGUUAUCCCACAUGAAAAGAUUAAGAAAUAUUUUAUGGGGUAUAGGCUAUAUAAAGAAAAAAAAGAGUUCAGGUCUCACCCGGGUUACACCGAGUCACCCGAGUUUAGACUAUUUAAAACCCGGCCGAGGCCCCGGGUCACCUGGGUCUCACUUCAACUCCUGGGCUAGGUCGGGUUUUAUAUUUAUGGCUAAAACUCAUGUCAAAUCUUUUGAAAAUUGUUUUAUGAAAAAUAUUACUGAAAAUUGUUUUGCUUUGGAAAUUAUUUUGAGGAGUUUUUGAUAUCACCGCCUCUUUGUUUGGGAAAACGGUUUGAAGAGGAGCAUCUGGAUUCGAAACUAGCACCUCUUUGGAUUUUGAAAGAUUUGGAUCUGUUGAUUUGUAAAGCUCGAGGUUACUUGUCUUUUUAGAAUAUAAAGGCAUUAGGUCGUCUUCCCUGUAAAAAAUACAUAAAAUAGCUUGUUAUGUGGCAAAAGAUGUAAAGGUUUGCAACAAUGGAAAUGUGUCGGAUAGACUAAGGUAGAGGAUUUUUCUUGAGUCUAUCAUGUAAAAGGCUUGCAAAUAUGGCUGAGAUUAAGGUAGAAGUAUAAAAUAUAAUCAAGACUUUCAAGAAAUCUUUGUAAUUGCUUGUUAUGAAGGAUUUGAUAUGGGGACUUAUCACCAAAUUGGAUUGACUUUCUAUGGGAAUAAUUGUUAACGAAUCUUUAACUUAGUUUUUUAGUAACGGUUUUUAAUUAUUAUUAUUAUUAUUUAUUUUAUAAAAGAAAUAAUAUAAUAUAUAUCAGUCUCUAUAACUUUAAUUAUGAAAUUUUAGAAAUAAUAUUUUAAUGCAAUAAAAAUACUUAUAAUUUUAUUUAUAAAGUAUUUAUGUGUCAAAAAUUUUAUAUUUAUUCUAGAUUCAUUAGUCAAACUUAAAUAAUUAUUAUUAUAAAUAAAAAAAAUAUUUUUGCAUAAACAAAGUCAAUAUUACAUAUAAUCACUCCAUUAACUAUAGGAUAUAUACCAGGAAACAUGAAUUGCUAAUAAAAGAUAAUAGCAGUAGUGUAAUUUUGUGACUGUUUAGUUUCAAUCUGUUUCUUAUUCAUGAUAAAAAAUUCGUGGUUCGUGGCAUCAGCUUUUACUAAAUGGAUAAAGAUCCUGGGCUGAUGAAGAGGAAGAAGCAGUCCAUGGUCCCUCUGAUGACUUCACGAAGGACUGAGUUUCACUUAAACUUCCUUUGACAGAAGAUUGAGCAAACUUGUUAUGUAAGGCCGUAGCAUACCCUGAUGGAUCACCCAAUGUGCUUGGAACCAUGACGAGUUCCUCGACAUCAGUUUUUCCUUCAAGCAUGCUCACUACUGUAGACAUUGUAGGUCUAAGUGCUGGAGAUUGAUUUGUGCAUAGAAGGGCUACAUUGAUCAUUCUAACCACUUCUUUCUUGUUGAAUUCAGACCCCAAUCUUGGAUCAACCAUCUCCAUUAUGUCCCCAUUUUUUUGUAAAUAUAGAACCUGAAAUAACCAAAAAAAAAACUAGAUAUAUAGCUGACUAAGAUUAAACAUGAUUAGACAAUUAAGAGACUAAAUGGGCAUAACUUACCCUAUCCAGAAGGCAUACAAAGUUUUCAUCCCUCCUAAAUUUGACGUUGUUCAUCCCAGAAACAAUUUCCAAUGCUACAACACCAAAGCUGUAUACAUCUGCCUUGUAAGUUAAGUAACCAUAUAAUGCAUAUUCCGGUGCCAUGUAUCCCCUGCACAGAAAGAAUAACUCAGACAUUUUACAAGUUUGCUUCACUAAAACAUGUAAAAAAAUGCUAAAUGUCUAUUCUUUGUUUUUGUUUUUGUUUUUGUUUUCGAUAGGCAAAAUUAUAUUUCUUGCAGCCUAAACAGGAUGUCGAACCCUGGAUGAUAAUGUGAAUAGUGUAUUCAUUUAGAGGAACACAGCCAUAGAUGGGGAGGCCCUGAUCCAUGAGAACCCUGCAGUGUGUGAUUUGAACCCUAGAUGCCUGCCCACCACAUAUUUUUAAGCUAACCCCUUCCAUCGGCACUUGAGCCCAGUUACAGCAUCAUACUGUUUAAGACUAAAAGAUAUCUUAGAUAAAUGACAAUACUUGUGUGUUUUCCUUACUGUCUUCUUUUCAGGAUUUUUCAUGUGUUCAAUAAACCCCGUGUUAAUAUCAGAAACUCACAUUGUUCCAGCAACUCUGGUGUCGAUGUGGGUGUUGUCCUCGUCAUCAAGCUUGGCCAUUCCAAAAUCAGAUAUCUUGGCGUUCAUGUCCUUGUCAAGAAGGAUAUUGGUACCUUUUAUGUCUCUAUGAACAAUUUUGAGUGUCGACUCCUCAUGCAGGAAAACCAGACCUUUCGCUAUACUUACACAUAUCCUCUGCCUUGUACGCCAGUCUAGCUUCGUUGCCUUGAUUUCCUUUGUCCCUGUAAUCAUCAUGCAUAACCCAACCCAUCAGUUUCUUCUUCACUAAUUCUAUCUAUAUACCAUUCAAAGAACUUGUUUUCUUUCUCAUUACUUUACAUAAGAUACUAUGGGGAAGUGAUCAGAGGCCUACCGAACAAAACAUGCGCAAGGCUAUUGUUUUCCAUGUAUUCAUAUACCAGCAACAAUUGCUUCCCCUCAAUGCAACAUCCAUACAAUCUAACAAGAUUUGGGUGUUGCAAAGCAGAAAUCAUGCCUAUUUCGUUCACAAACUCACGAUUCCCCUGUUUUGAUUUCGCCGAAAGCUGCUUAACCGCAAUCCGAGUGCCAUCUGAUAGUACUCCCUGUCAUGAGAAUAAUUUUAGAUAAACAAAAUAAGUUCACUGAGGCCAUUCCUUGAUGCUUCGAUAAGAGAAAAGAAAUAAUAUAGUAGAUAAGUAGCUAGACGAAAACAAAAUUCUGUUCUAUACUUUGUAGACGCAGCCAAAACCACCUUCUCCAAGUUUGUUUGCUGGAUCAAAGUCAUUCGUUGCGGCUUUGAUUUGUCUGAAGGUGAAGAUACCAGUAAGCAGAUCUAACCCAACAAGUUCUACCCAAGGAACAAAGAGGAUAUGUAUAUAUUAGUUGUUCUGCAUGAAUGAUUCAUCAAAGGAAGAACACAGAUGGUUUUUGCAGUCAUACAAGUAAACAGCAUUGAGAUUGAUAAUUCCCAUUGAAAAAACCAUUGUUAGAGAGUAAUAUAAAACCAUUCCUUUAGCUUCGCCAAGCAGCUUAAACCUAUUGGAUUGAGAUAAUUCUUUGACAAAUGUAUGCAUUCAUGGAUAGACAUACAGCAAAUAAGAUGCAGAAAAUUGCUUAUUGCCGUGUUAUUUUAGUGACUGGAUUCCUCACUAGAAUUUGCGAAAUCAAAUAAAUGUAUCAGCUGUACCUCGAUCCCUCGAUUUCCUUCCUCCCAAAUGACCUUUCCACCAAAGAGUGGAUAGAAAUAUGAGAAUGAGGAAUAAUGGCAAAACCACAGCUCCAGCGACAAUGAAUCUCUUCCUCCUGCCUUUAUCAGGUGGCUUGAAGUCUAGGCAGAAAUAGAAUUGCAGCAAGAGCAAGUAUUGUCAGAUCACAGUACUAAUUAUUCCUUCAUUACCAUGUCAUUCCAUUAUAUGUCAACCUACCAGAUUCCACAUCAAUGGCUGAUAUUAGAGGACCAUAUAUUCCUUUUGUGGGAGACCUUGUGGUUCCUUUCCCAGCCCAAUGAAGGCGGAUCUCUAAAGCUCCAUUGGUUACAGGUGCUGUAUAAUUAUGAAUGUAUACCUUAUCCACCCCUCCCACUGCCUUCACUAUAUCAAAAUCCUUCAGCACAACAAUGUCCUGCGAGAACAAUUCUUCAAUUAAGCUGUCACCUAUUGCAUAAGGAAUGAAUCUAUGAUCUUUUAAUUAAUAGAUACCUGAAUAUAAACAUCAAAUAUCCGUCUUCCUAGACUGUAGUAGGAUCUGUUAUCCCUCAUUACUAUCUCUGCAAAGUGCAGCUUGAUUUUGUAAUUCCCAUUUACCAGACAGGGAACGUGGUAUGUGAGAGACAAAGGAGUGAGGCGUGCAUUUGUGUACAAUACAGAGUUGUCCAUUCUGAGCAUGGACUUGUUUCGUGCUAUGUAGUUAUCCAAGGAAGCAGGAAUAUCCCAGAUAUGUCCUGUGGUACUUGUUUGCCAAUCCUCUCUUUUGGACGCAUAUUUUGCUGCACCUCCUGGCUCAUUAUCUGCUUCGUAGAUGGUGUUUCCAAUGGUGGCUUCUGGUCCCCCACAAUUUAUGUGCACUGAAUAUCGCUCUAUUCAUAGAAAUAAAAAUGGUCAUGGCCACCGAUAUGAUUAAACAAAUUAUAACACAAGAAAUGUUAGGAUCAGACCGUACGCUAAAUCGGAGCAAACAGAACAGAAACUAUUAAGAUUUUGUGAUGCAGGAGCAUCCUUUUCUUCCUAGAGUGGAAAUCGUGGUGGGACCCACAAUGUAAAUGCCCACAUAAUAGGACCUUUAUAUUUAUUAUCUAGUGAAUAUGGAAAUAAGUUUGUCCGUUAACAUUUGUCUAGGCUUUUGUGAUCAACUGGUUGUUUAUUCCUACACCAGUUGAAGGUCUUAGAUUCGAUUUCUUUCCAGAGGAGGAUGAUGCAGAGCAUCAUCUUGCUCUUGGGAUGGAAAUCCUAGUGGUCGGAUGCAUGAUGGGGUAGCCACACGCAAAAGGACCAUUGAGUUUAUGACUGAGAUGCUAUGAUCCAACGAAUAUAGAAAUAAAUAUAUAGUCUAGGCUGACAGGUUGUUCCUGCAUCAUUUUUCUGUCUCCUUCCAGGUGAAAUGUAAAAGCGGAUAGCUUUACAAAUUUAAGAGUACCUUCAGAACAAGCUCUCAGGCACUCAACAGGUUUCCUGGAAAGAUGGCCAGAUAGAAUUAUCAGCUUAUUUAAAAUAAAUGACAGAGAAGAAGAAAAUAAAAUGAUCUAUGUUUUAGAUAUUUAUCAAAGUAGAAGCUUACGAAUAGUUCCCUCCCCAAGUACUUUUGAACAGAUUUCUGGCAAGACAAGAAGAGUUAAGUUUUGUAGGUUAUGAAGUGAACCGUGAUGUAAAAGGAAGCAGACUUUCAAAAUCAAAGGCAAGGCAAGGAAAGGAAAAUGAAAUCAAUCUUACAGUGUUUCUCUACAUUUUGCUUCCGAAGUAAAAUUGUUGUAAGAAAGAUCGAUUUCGCUGCACACAAAGAUAGCUUCCUUAAACAUUCAGCCAGUAUUUCUGAAUUUUUUAGAAAAUUGCAUGCACGUGUUAGCUUUUGGUUGCUAUCUCAAUGCAGAAGAGAUGAAUAGACAGAAGAGAUGAAGACAGUUGGGAUAGAAAGGACAUAUCCUCACCUCACGUCUUUUCUGAUUUUAAUAGAUAAAAAUUCAAUCCAAAACUAUACAAAUUUAUUUUUAUAUCUUCAUCUUCGUCACUGUAACCAAACACAUUUUUGUCCCUACUGUAUUUGUAUUUGUCCUUUCUAUUCUAGGACAAUAACUAAAUGAAACCUUGUAGAUAGUUUGAUUAUUCAUGCACAGCCGUACUGAAAACUAUCUGGCAACUGGGAAGGAUAAUCUGAUUUCCAGCUUCUCAUCAGUAUAGCUCUUCAAAGACUAGGACAUAUUAUUAAACCUACAGACACGCAUCUGUUAUAGGAUAAGGGAAACCUGAGGUUCAUGAUUAAGCUUUUGAGUUGAGAAUGUUCGAUAAAGGCGAACUGAAGUUGAUCAUUUCUAUCUUUCAGGGGAGAGUUAAUGGAUAAAAUAUUCAAUAGUUCUAAUUGAGUAAAAAGAAAAUAUAUUACAAACAAAAAUCUCAAAAAUCAUAAUUUAUAUCAGAAAUUAAAAAAAGAACUAACAUACUAGCGAGUAUCUCUUUUGUCGAUCCAAUCUGGGAUGGGCCCUGUAAGCAUAUUCCUUGUAAGAUACCUAUGCAGAAAGUAAAAAUUGUCAUUUGGUUGAACAUUUGUCCAAGGCUAUCAUUGUAAAAGACUGUUUGGAGGACAAGUUUAUCAUCAUAAUUGCUGUACUCUACCAUGAGAAUAACUUGAAAAAAGGAUUGAGCCAUCGGGUCAGCUCUGGUCAACAUUUUUAUUAAAAAAUAAUAAUUUUGUUCCAUUCUUUUCACAAGAUAUUGACCCGAUCAGGUUUGGACAUGGUUUGGCCAGGUUGAAUAGGUUUGACAGUUCAAUGUCUUGUAUGGUUCAAUCCUGAAUUUUCUUGGACUAGUUGUCUUACUGGUUUAGGUUUAAUAAUUAUGCUUUCAUAUGGCAAACAUUAAUUUCAGAAGGUAAUAUAAUAUAGUAUACUUACAUUUUCUCCAAGCUUUUUAGGCCAUCAUAAUUUGUUGGAAGAGGACCAUUUAAUCUGUUGAAACUGAGAUCCCUGUUUACGAAAAGAAGGGGGGGGAAAAGGGUAAAGACCAUGGUUCAAAAUGCAUUUUGAAAGUUAUUUACAAAUAAUAAUGUAGCUGCAAUCUCUAAGUAUCCAUGAGAUUCACACUUCAAUCUUCAUGUAGAUGAAUGACAGAAUGGAUGAUAUACAAGGGAUAGAGUAAAUUACAAAAUUUUCAGCUGUGCCAUACUGGUCAAAUAUAUGGGAAAAUUUCCUGACAAGUUGCAGUUGCUCAAUAGCCUGCAAUAUACAUUAAUUUCAUGUCAGCUAAAUAUAUACUGUGUUCUAAAUUAAAUUGAUCCUGGUAUGAGAGUAUCAGCUGCAAGAAUAACUCACAGAUACUUAAUGCCUGCUAUAGAUUCUAGGUUGGGAAGCUCUGAACCAUCUCCAAGUAAGUUACUUAUUUUUCUGUUCAAUAUUAGCCAACAUAUAAAUGUGAGAUGUUCAGGAUAAAAGUUGUAACUGAGACCAUAAAUUUAAAACGAAUAUCUUACAGAUCAGUUAGAUUAGUCAAGAGAGAGAUGCUUGAAGGAAUGGGUCCAGUGAAACCACCAGCUUGGAUCUCUCUGUUAAUACAAAAUUAAAGGGGGAUUAGGGUUCUGCUUCAGUGAUGAGAUUCAGAGCUUGUGGUAGAAACUAGCACAUACAAUGUAUCAAGUUGUUUCCAGCUCUGAAUAAAAUCAGGUAUUCUUCCAGUGAAGUUAUUGCUGCUAAGCCUUCUGCAUUCGCCGAACGGAAAACACAGAAUCAUGAAACUUGGAGAGUAAAGAGAUGCAUCUGUAAUAUCAAAUACUGCAACUAAUGAGUAUGAAACACAAUAACCAUGAGAAAUGAGAACCUACAGUUCCUUCAAUCCGGUAAGAUUAGUGAGAGCAGGGGGUAACUCUCCAGUGAGAUAAUUGGCACUGAGAGUUCUGCAAUCACAAAAGGAGAAAAACACUUAGCAUUCAAUAAUCAGUUAGGACUUAAUUUCUAAUACAAAAGCUUGAAUGAACUGACAGAUUCUUCAGGUUAACCAAGCCUCCAAGCUCAGGGGGAACAGUUCCGGAAAACAUAUUGUCCUGAAUGUUCCUGCAUAAAUGCCAACUCUCAGGAUUACUCCUGACUAAACAAUUGAACAGAUUUAAAUAUGAAAAAAAAUGACAAGAAAUUGACUAGUAGAAAAAUGCAUACAGGUAACUAAGUGUGGUAAUCCUUCCCAGAUAGCUAGGAAUUUUUCCCGUCAACCGAUUCACGCCGACAGACCUGUUGUUUAUACAAUCUAUUAAUUAUGAGUAAGCAAUUCCUUGGCUAGAAAACAUGAAUGCAGAAUUUUCUUACAAUGUUUCCAGCUUGGUAUUAGCCCAUUCAGGUGGUAUAUUGCCACUCAGGUAGUUGGCCCAGAGAUUUCUGCAGAGCAGAUAGAGUUCUAAUAAAAUCGAAUCAUACGAUGCAAAUUCACGGUGCUCAAUCUGUAGAAACGUAAUAAUUUGAAGCACUGCUUACAGAUGUUUAAGGUGUGGAAGUUUCUCGAUAGCCUUUGGGAGAGUACCGUCAAGAUCUUGCCUUUUGAGAUAUCUGCAUUGCAAGAACACAUGGACCCAUCAACUCCUCAAUACAAGGUAAGAAUUCAAAACUUUCAACCAUUGCAAAUCAACAAUCAUAUGUCAAGAAAAUACAAGACAUAACUACAAAUUUUAUUAUUUAUUUUUUUUAUAUAAUUUUACUGCUAAUGAAUUGCAUCUGAAUUUCUCAAAAUAAAAUUAUUUUUUAACUCGAAAUAUGAUGCAUAUUAGAUGACAUAUUUUUUAAAUAUUUAUAAGGUGAUAUAUUGGAUAAUAUAAUUUUUUUUCAAAUAUUAAGACAAUGAUAUAUUGAAUCGAUCUUAGUUAACAUGUCAAAUUUGUAACCAAGGAUUAUGUUAACCUUAUAAAAAAAAUCAAAAUAAAUUAUGAAGGUCAAUUACUAAUCAAUUUAAUGUUAAAUGAUAAAAUAAAAAAAAUAAAAAAAGCUACCCAAGUCAACCACGGUCAACCUCCAAACCCACAACUCGAGUCAUGAGAUUGGGAUAACUCAAAAGAAAAAAAUUAAAAAAAAAAUAUGAAACUCAAUUUCUAACCACCCGAUGUUGAAGGUUGAAAUUGUACAAAAAAUCAAUUAAAAAAUAAAAAUAAAAAAACCUAAGUUGAUUGUGCUAAUCUAUUAAACCUGUAACCUGGGACAAGAGAUAAAAUAACUUCAUAAAAAGCAAAAAAAAAAAUUACAAAACUCUAUUUCUAAUACAUCUAAUGUUGAAAGUUGAAAUUAAAAAAGAAAAAAACCAAAUCAUUUAGACCGAAAUAACUCAACAGAAAUCAAAUUGAAAAAAACUAAAAAAACUCGAUUCUCAAAAAGCCUAAUAGUGGAGGAUAAAAUUGAAAAAAAAAUUGUUGUUGAAGGGUUAAAUAAAAAAAUAAUUAAAAAAUGACUAAAAAAUGAACCGAAUCAACCCAGGUUUACCUAUCAAAGUCAUGAUCUAGAUAAUAAGAUCGAGAUAAAUGAAAUAAAAAAAAAUAACUAAGCCCAAUUAAAAAAAUAUUAAAUUUAAAAAAGAUAAAAAAAAAAGUAAAAAAAUAAAUCCGAUCGAGUUAAUCUGUUAAACCUGCAACUUAAAUCAUAAAAUUAAGAUAAAUUCAUAAAAAUAUAUAUAAAAUGCCACUACCUAACAUAUUUAAUGUUGAAAUAAAAAAAAUAUACAUGAUAUUGGUAUAUAACUUAAUAAAAAGAAUCGAGCAAAAUUAUGAGUGUGCCUGCUUAGCCACACAGUUAGUAAUUUGUUAAUUCCCUGGACUGGCCCCAUCAGAAUCCUUCAGACCUCAAAUUAAAAUUGAAAAUAAAAGCAUGGAGUGGUAAGUGAAGAGAUAUACAUGGCAAUAACGCGGCACACACCCCCAGGAAAUGAGCAGUUGCAAACAACUUUAUUGUCAGCAUCUAGCUUUGGAGGUAAAAUUGUAUCAUUGCACAGUGUCAUGUUGCGAUUCCAGCCUUUUUUGCCCAGUUGUGUUGCUACUUCAAGCAAGGCUUCCACUGCAUAAAUCAAAAUUAAAUCUCAACUUCUAAUUCUGGGAUGAUUAGCUGGUGGCUUCUACAAUGCCUUGCCAAGAAAUGUUUGCAAAAAACACAGAAUUCUGUAAGAAAAUCACUGCAUGAUGCCAUUACUAACAUGGUUACAGAAUCCUGCAAUACAAUCAAAUUUGAUGACUGCAGUAUCGAGGAGUAUGAUGCAGUGAGGAUUUUGCAGGUAAAAAAACUCCUGCUAGAAGAAGGCAUUACAAGUGUAUGUCUUCCUCUAAACAUUAAAGAAUCUGCUCAUCUGAACCAAAUUAAAAAUAUUUAUGUACCUUCAUCAGGAGCAAGGCUCCCAUCUUGGGCCUCCAAGUUAAUUGCUCCCAUGCAAAACAUUAGUAGCAUAAGCAUAAGUAAGCUAGAUGUGACUCUCAAAAUAUCAGAGAGUGCAGCAGCCAUCUUCCUUAGUCUGCAAUCCACUUUGAGUUAGUAGGCUGCCUGGAGAGAGCUUUAUGCAUCUUUAUAUUUGACCUUUCAGGAUGAUGUGGGGUCUUUCUUACCUUGUCUUUUAUAUAUAUAUAUAUAUAUAUAUAAGCCCACACUUCAAGAAUACCACUGUCUGUCCGAGACCACUUGUGCCUUUCCAUUUUUUUUCUUAUAUCUUAUUAAAAAUAUUUAAAAAAAAUUAAAACAAAUUCAAAUUAAUAUGUUUUUAUUAUUUUUAAAUCAUUUUUAUAUGCUAAUAUUAAAAUUAUUUUUUAAAAAAUAAAAAAAUAUAAUUUUAAUAUAUUUAUAAAUAAAAAAUAUUUUAAAAAAAAAAUCAUAACUCAAUAAUUCUUAAGUGAACGUAAAGAUUGGUAGGUCAAAAAAAUAAUAAUAAAUAUGAUUGGGAAUUGGAGAGGAAGUAUCCGACAAUAUGAAAGAAGAAUUUUACGUUCAAAAAGGGACAAAAGAUAGGCUAUAUAAUUCUUUGAAUCCACAAAACCAUCAAAGAGACUCGUUGUAUAUAAAGAUUUCAUAUUCCAUGCAGCCUCCCUCGUUGUUUCUUAAAAAGAUGGUAUAUCAGCGUUUUAUUAUAUAUUAUUUAAUUAUUAUCACGUGAUAAUAGAAACAGUAACAAAAAAACCAAAAAUAUAUUUAGUUGGCUAGUAAAAAUAAAUUUGUCUCUUAUAUAAUUUUAUGGUGAAUUCACUACUAGAAAAUUAAUAAAUAUAAAUAAAAAUAUUGAGAGAAUAUUUUUAUUGGUAAAUUUUUUUUAUUACCAACAGACUUACCGACAAAUAAAAAAUUACCGAUGAAAUAUUCACCGACGGAGCAUUUUCGUUGGUGAUCUCAUUGAUAAAUUAAUUACCAACGGAAUGAUAGUGCAAAUAUCGAUGAAAAAAUCUGUCGGUAAAUGUAAAGAUUGUGGUAGUGAUUUUUGUAUUUAAAAAAAAAUAACAUAUAUAAUAGAAAGAAAAAAAAAUUGCAAAGCUAAAUUCUCUACCAACUUAAUAUUAAAAAAAAACCAACAAAGAUAAUUUUGGAAGGAAAAAACCCCAUGAGAAAAAACAUUGUAGCAAUUGACAAUGUUUUGUGAGGAAAACUAUAGCGCUUUUCCCAAUAAAAUAAAAUAAAAAACCAUUUAAAGAAAUAUUGUAGCAAUCCACAUUGUUUUGUGAGAAAAACUACAACGCUUUCCUCAUAUGAUUUAGUUUUACUGUAAUUAUAAUUUUUAACCAACUCAAUAUUAAAAAAAAAAUCGACAAAGAUAAUUUUGGAAAAAACCAUAAAAAAAUCACAUGGGAAAACACUGCAACAAUUCAUAGUGUUUUAAAGAAAAAAAUUACAAAGCUAAAUUCUUAAUCAGCUCAAUAUUAAAAAAAAUCGACAGAGACAGUUUUAGAAAAAAAAAUAACAAAACAAACACCAAAAAAAGAAAAAAAAAUCAUGUUGGAAACACUAUAGCAAUUCACAGUGUUUUGUGAUGAAAGCUACAGUGCUUCCCUACAUGAUUUAGCCUUAUUUGUAAUGACUUGUAAUUAUAAUUUACAAACAACUCAAUAUUAAAAAAAUAAAAUUAAAAAAGAUAAUUUGAAAAAAGUUAUAAAAAAAAAAUCAUGCGGAGAGACACUAUAGCAAUCCACAAGGUUUUAUGAGCAAAGCUACAAUGUUUUCCUCACAUAAUUAAGCUUUAUUACAAAGUUAAAUUCUAACCAACUCAAUAUUAAAAAAAAAAAAAAUCGACGAAGAUAAUGUUAGAAAAAAAUAUCACAAAAAAAGAAAACACAAAAGAAACUGGAAGAAAACCAUGUGAGGAAAAACUGUAUCAAUCCACAGUGACUAAAAAACAAAAAUAUAGUAGCAUUUUUUGACUAAAAAAUAGAAAAGACAACGUCCCCUGAUUCUACAAUAUUGUCCACAGUGUAAAUAAUCUAUGUCUAUAGCGUGGUCUAUAGUAUAAUAAAUUUAUGUACACAAUACUUGUACAAUGUUUUUCCAUGCAUUUUAAAGUAUAGUAUAAUAAUAAUGUCUUAUUUGUGACACAAAAAGCCUCUAAAAUUAUAAAAAUCAAUCUAUAAAAGUCCAAUAAGCUUCAUAAAAUAAAUUUGUCAUUUGUGAGAUUUGUUUUAAAUGUGGUCAAUUGUCGUGUGGUCCCUCGAAACUAUACAGCCAAAGCUAAAAUAAUGCGAACAGUUGUCGGUUUAACAAGUGGGCUAAAGGUCUCAAAGUACCAUGAAAGACAAACAAAAAAGAAGAUGGUUUUGAAAAAAAGUACACAAACCAUGUGUAUCAUUAUCAUUAUAUAGAUGUUAUAGUUGUAGUGAUAAACAUUACAAUAACAACAACCAUAACUUUCGGAAUAAUCACAAUAGAGUUUAAGUUUAAACCUAACAGAGUAAAGUUUGAAAAUCAAGUAUCCUGGUUUGUAGGGAGCACGGGAUUGAUAUCCUUAACAUCUUCCCUCAAAUUAGUGGGUAAAGAACAAACCAAUAAUUUAUCGCGCAGAAUACAAAAAUGAUCAGCAGUGUGGCCCUUGGUGAAGAUAUCUGCAACUUGAUUGCAGGUGUUAAUAUAUCGAACAACCACAUCUUUGUUAACCACCUUCUCUCAAAUAAAAUGAUAAUCAAUUUCAAUAUGCUUAGUUCACGCCUGGAAAAUAAAAUUAGAAGCCAAAGACAUAGCACUGAAAUUAUCACACCAAAGUGUAGGUGGUGUCAAUUAAUGUGCAACUCUCGCAAAAGCAUAUAGAUCCAAUAUACUUCAGCUGUCAUUAAUGCCAAGCUUCGAUACUCUGCUUCAGUACUAGACCUGGAGACAAUAGGUUGUUUCUUAGAGGACCAAGAAACUAAACAUUGUCCAAUAUAGAUGUCAUAGCCACUUGAAGAACGUCUAUCAGGAUUACCCGCCCAGUUUGCAUCAUAGAAAGCAUGUAAGGCAACAGUACUUGGUUUAUAGUGAAGACCAAAAUCAACAGUAUGCUUUAAGUAACAAAGAACUCUCUUGGCCAAAAUCCAGUGGGUACUAGUAGGUGCUUGCAUAUGUUGACAUAACUGAUUGACGGAGUAUACAAUAUCAAGACGUGUAAUGGUAACAUACUGAAGGGCCCCAACAAUAUGCCAGUAUUCAGAGGGAUCAAUCAAGAGAUCACCAUCAAAUUUUGACAUUUUCGACCUAGAAAUGCAGGGAGCCUUGUAAGGUCGAGCACCUACCAUAUUAGCACGAUCAAGAAAAUCAUCAAUUUAUUUAGAUUGACGUAAAUGUAACCCUGUAUGAUCACGUACAACCUCUAUCCCUAAAAAAAUAGCUCAAGUCACCUAAAUCCUUCAUCACAAACUUAGAUUAUAAUAGAGAAAAUUGUCGAAUCAUCAUUGCCAGUAAUAUAUAAAUAUGCAAUUUAUCUCUAUGAAGAGUGAAGAAAGAGUAGUCAACGUGUGAACCAAAGAAACCAAGAUCAACCAGCACAUGUGAGAGGCGAGUGAACUAAGCUCGUGGUGCCUAUUUAAGGCCAUAAAGAGAGCGAUGCAAUUGACAUACAAAGGUAGGAUGUUCAUCACUGAUAAACCCUUUUGGUUGCUCUGUAUAAACUUCCUUGUCAUUAAGAUAUCAUUGGAGAAAAGCAUUUGAAACAUCUAGCUACCAUGUGGUCCAUCAAAAUUGUACAGCCAAAGCUAAAAUAAUAGGAACAGUUGUCGGUUUAACAAUUGGGCUAAAGGUCUCAAAGUAGUCGACACCAAACCUCUGAUCAAAUCCUUUGGCGACUAACCUCACCUUGUAAUGAUCAAUGGAGUCAUCAGGUUUCUAUUUGAUCUUGUAAACUCAUUUGUUGCGGACAAUAUGAUGGGAAGAAGGUCGUGGAUAGGGUGACCAUGUAUCGUUGUCCAAUAAUGCCUUGAACUCAGAUUCUAUAGCUACACGUCAUUCCAGUUUUGGAGACUGCCUGUGUAAAAGUGUUAGGCUCAGGAUGGAUGGCAGCUGUAUGGAAUAGGUGAAGUGGAUGUUAUGAGGAAUAAUGGGUCACAUAGUCAAGAAACUGGCGAGGCCGAGAAUGCCUUGUUUGUAAGCGAGUAACAAUAUGAGGAAUAGGGGAGUGCUCGACAGAUGGGUUUGAAUAAACUAAGGGAUCAGAUGAUUCAAUGAUAGUGGGAUAGGGUGAAGAAUUAUGGGGCACAGUUGAAAUUUGAAUAGAUGAUGAGAUGGGUGACAUAGGGGAAUCAAGGGGCUCAUGAGAUUGGGGUAAAGGAUGUGAAGUUGUUGCAGGUUGAUUUGCAGAAGAGUUUAUUCAAUAGGUAGGUGGUGAACCCAAAAACUUAGGGGAAGUUGGAAUUGGAAGGGGAGAAGAAGAUGUACCAGUAGAUCUGGUAGGUGGUGAACCCAAAAAAUUCAAAGAAAUUGGAAUUUGAAGGGGAGAGGAAGACAUACCAGGAGGGAUCACGACACCAACAGGAGAGUUAUUUGGGAUCUUUAUUUUGGCUGGAAAAUAGUUUUCAUCAAACACAACACUGCGAGAGAUGUAAACACACUCACUUACAGAAUCAAGGUGCCUAUAACCCUUUUGACUGGAGCAAUAACCAAUAAAAAUGCACGGGAUACUACGAUAUGACAAUUUGUUUUCAGCAUAUGGACGUAACAAAGGAUAACAUCUACAUCCAAAGUUUCGUAGAAAAGAAUAAUCAGGUGCAUUUUUAUAUAGUUUGAAGAAAAGGAGUAUCAUUAUUUAGAACUAGCGUAGGUAACCUAUUGAUUAAAUAUACGACGGUUAAAAAUGAUUUAACCCAAAAUUUCUUAGCAAGUCCAGAUUGUGCAAGUAAAGUGAGGCUCAUAUCAAUAAUGUGGGAAUGUUUUCAUUCUGCAAUACCAUUUUGUUGAGAAGUAUAUGGACAUGUUUGUCUAUGAAAAAAACCAUUUUCUAUGAGAUACCGAGUAAAAAGUGAGGAAAUAUAUUCUCCACCGUUAUAGGUUUGUAAACGUUUAAUAAGGGAUGAAAAUUGUUUUUCCAUAAGUAGUCGAAACUGAACAAAAGAAUUGAAGACAUCGGAUUUAUUUGCAAUUGGAUACAACCAUGUAAAUCAACUGAAAACUUCAAUAAACGUUAAAUAAAAUUUAAAACCACUAGGCGAGAUAAGAGGUGCAACCUAAACAUCCGAGUGGACCAGAUCUAAAGGACCUGAUGUCUCACAAUGAGAGGAGGAAAAAGGCUGUUGAAUGGAUUUUCCAAGUUGACAAGAUUCACAUACAAAGCUCUUUUGCACUGAACCAACAAGAGGUAAAUUAGAAUUAGAUAAGACAUGACGCAAGACAGACUCAAAUGGAUGACCUAAGCAUUGAUGCCAAAGGGAGCUGGGUACCUUGAUUCCCAUAAAGGCAAUUAACCCUUUGUGCUUAUUAUGUGAUAAGUUGGCAAGAUUGAUAGGAUAGAGCUCAUUUUCACUCGGACCCUGAAGAAGCAUGGUUCCUAUCUAAUGGUCCUGAACCAAAUAGGCAUUAUGUGUGAGAUGGAAAGUAACAUCAUUAUCGACAUAAAAUUUGUUAAUAGAAAAAAGAUUAGUAGCAGCUUGAGGACAAUGAAUAAUAUUUUUAAGAAGAAAGCGAUUGUUACGAGAGUGGACAAUGGAUGAACUAGUAUUUUUAAUAGACAAACUACCUACACCGACAGUCUCAUUACCAUCAAACGAGCAUUUGGAAUCAAGAUUCUCAAAAUUAUUAAAGCAAAUAUGACAAAGAAAAUGUGAUUAAGUUUUGUGUGUGUGUGUGUGAGUGUGUGUGUGUGUGUAAAUCCAUAUUAAUUAAAACAAAUAUGCAUUGGAUGAAAAAAAUGCAAAUAUUAUAAAUAUAAAAAUGUCAUUGGUCUGGCUGCCGAGCCAAACCCAAUAUUUAUAGGUCUGGUUACCGAGCCAGAUCCAAUGUUAUUGGAUCCAGCUAGGCAGCUAGACUCAAGGCUAUUGGUAGUCGGACCCAAUAGCAUUGGGUUAGCAGUCAAGUCAGACCCGACAACACUUUUUAACUAAAAAAAGAAAUUCUGUAGUAUUUUUUAUUAAAAAAUAAAAAAGACAACGCACUCCUGAUGUUACAAUGUCACCCACAGUGCAAAUAUUCUAUGUCUAUAUUGUGGUUCAUAGUAUAAUAAUAAAUCUAUGUAUAUAGUACUGCAAAAUGUUUUUCCACACAUUUUAUUAAAGUAUAGUAUAAUAAUAAUAAUAAUAAUAUGUAUUAUCUGACAGAAAAAGCCUCUAAAAUUAUAAAAAUUAAUCUAUAAAAUUCCAUUAAGCUUCAUAAAAUAGAUUUGUCAUUUGUGAGGUUUGUUUUAGAUGGGGUCAAAUGCAAGUCCAUACUUCUAUCGUGAAGCCUCUAAACUGCAUAUAGUCAUGGGUUUAUUGUAAUGUGCAUAAUUAUUAAACCUGCUUAAUAUGACAUAUUAACAUGGAAAACUGAGAAUCUGACCCAAGUUUUUUUUAAUUAAAUUAAUCAAUUUAACUAAAUUUAAAUUCAACCACAACUAUAUAUAAAAUAAAAAUAAGAACUCCAUGGACCCAUUAUGUUGUAAAAACGGGCUAAGGUGAAAAUACAAUAGGAACACAUGGGCUUUGCCUUUCACCAUUUUUUUCCCUUCAAAAAGGGUUAAGAGUUUUUGUAUUUCCAGCAUAUAGUUGUAAAGCUUUCUGUGAUUUUUUUAAAAAAAAUUGUUUUUUGUUUAUUUAUAUAUAUAAUAUUAUUUUAAUAUAUUUUUUAUUAAAAAAUAUUUUACACUGCAAUACUAAACAUAUUUUAUACUAAAAUGAUUUCAGAUUUAUCUUAGAAAAUUACAGUGCUUGAAUUAGAUUAAAUUUUAAAUUAAAUUGAAAAAGAUAUUUAUCUUAUAAAAUUCAAUUGAUUUUAUUGAGCUUCCCUGACUUUAUAAAAAUUCAAAACUACAACGUUUUAAUAAAAAUAUAAAAAUAAUUGCUCCGGCUUGACUCAAUGUUCCAAUAACUCAGGACCUUUUCCAUAUCAAUUCUCUUAGGCAUUGGGGGUGCUGAUCCUGAACUUGUUUAAGCACAAGCAAGCAGGGCAACAUCGAGUCUUUAAUGAUCCCAAUAGUUGGGAAAUGAAACGUUGAAUAAUAAAAUUUUAAAAAUAUAUAUAUAAAAAAAAUUCAAAAUAGAAAAUAUCAAUUAAAAAAAGGGUUAAAAUCAAAAUAAAAAAUAAAUUAUAGGGUAACAAUAAAUUUUCACUUUGAGAGUUAAAUUAAAAAGAACAAAAAUAUUAACAAAUAAAAAAAAUUAAUCAAAAGAAUAAGGACCAAAAUGAAAAAACAAAUAUACUAUCAAAUUGGAUUAAAGGGGAAAAUUAAAAAUAAUAAAAAUUUUACAAAGAGGUUAAGGAAAAAAAAAUCAUAAGAAUAAGGAUCAAAUUGAAAACAUCAAUACAUGAUAAAAAAAAUAAACUUGUAGUAUUUUUCAACGUGUUUUUUUAUAUUAAAAAAAUCAUAGAAGUAAAUCAAAAAACUUAUGCAUGCAUUAAAUUAAAUAAAUCAUGAAUUAUUGUGUAAAUAAAUAAAUAAAUAAAUAAUUCAUUAAUGAUAAAUAAAAAAAUAAUUGAAAAAUUGAGAAAUAAAUAUAGAUCAAGAUAUUUAAUAUCUCAACAUGGGUUAUUUACCUAAUUGUGUUUAAUGAAUUUGUUUAUUAAAAUUAAUUUCUAAUAGAAAUUGACACACAUAUAAAAUUUAUAGAAAAUAUUAUGCAGGGCUGCACAUAUUAAAAAUAUUAUAAAAAAUAAAUAUAUAAUCUUUAUAAUAUAUAUAUAUAUAUAUAUAUAUAUAUAUAUAUAAUAAUAAUAAUAGAUGCAUUGUAAUAACCUUUUAAAAAAUUAAACACACUCAAUAUAAUAAAAAAACAUUAUCGCUGUUUAAAAAAGGUUAAAUAAGCCCCAAAAAAAUCAUUGAGAAGUAUUAUUAGUUAAUACAUAAAUUUAAAAAUUAUUUAAAAAAACAUAAAAAAGAGGUAUUAAUUAAAAAAAAAAAGAAUGAGGUCAAGACAAGAAAGGACAAGCGUGCGGACCUGCAUGGUCAAGCUCACAUGCGGGGGCCUUUAAUCAUUUUUCUUAAGUUAAUAAGGGCAGACAACUUGUCAUCUGUUCUAAUUAUUUGGAGAGAAAAAACGAUGAUGCGUCAUCCGGAGCUCCGUAGAAUUCGGCAACUAGUUGGCCGAAAAAUAGGGUUAGUGUUUUUUUCACUCAAAAACUCAUUUUCAAUACAUUUUUUUACCCAAAACCCUUAGGAAAACAUCCUAUAAACCCUUGUUAAACCAAUCUAUGGCCUCUAAAAAUGCAAAAAAAAACCCCAAAACUCGAAAUCAACCCGAAAUCAAAAUUCUUCUUGAUCUCAUAUUUGUUUUUGUAGAUGUUUUCAAGGUAAAACAACACAUAAUCUUAACUCUUCUUAUUAUACGAAACUAUUUGACACAAAAAUAUUAUAUUUUGGUGGUCAAAAUCAUCUCCAUCAACAACUCUCUUUCUCUACGUUGGAAUCCGACGAUCCCCUCUCUCUCCUUCACCCAAAAUGAACUGGAAAAAAAAUUAAAAAAAUAAAGUUUCGUAUCAAAAUUGAAUUUUUGACAAUUAGAUAAACCAGUUACCUAAUAGAUAAAAAAGACAUGAGACUAAAAUGAACUUCACAAACCAAUUUAAAAGACAUUACCUAUUUUACCUAUUUUUUUCACUUUAAUCCUUUGCCUUUCAAUUACCCUCCCUCCUAAAAAAAUAUGUAAUUGGAUUCUAAUUUAAGUUAAAAAUGAUUCAAUUGUGUAAAAUGAACGUUCAAGGAUCAGAAUCAGAAAUACUGAAAAUAGCUUCCUAUCUGGCAAAAGAUGUAAAGGUUUGCAAUAAUGGAAAUGUGUUGGAUAGACUUCCCCACAGGUAAAGGAUUUUUCUUGAGUCUGUAAAGGUUCUGAGAUUAGGGUAGAAGUAUAAAAUAAAAUUAAGACUUCGUAUGAAUGAUUUUAUGUGGAGACUUAUCACCGAAUUGGAUUGAUUUUCAAUGGGAACAAUUGUUCCAUGAUAGAUGGAAAGCGGUGAUUAGGAAUGCGGUAGAAAUUGUGUUUUCUAAAAUUUAAUUUUUUUUACUUAAAAUUAAUUUUUUUAUGUUUUUAGAUUUUUUUGAUGUGCUGAUGUCGAACAUAAUUUUUAAAAAAUAAAAAAAAAAUAUUAUUUUGAUAUAUUUCCAAGAAAAAAAUACUUUGAACCGCAACCAGUAUCAUACUCUUAAACACUCUCAUAAUAAAUAAGGAAUCCAACUCUGGUUUAACUUAGCUUUUCAGUAAUAGGUUUUUUAAUGUAAUUAUUAUUCAUUUUAUAUAAAAAAAUAACAUAAUAUAUAUUAGUCUUACAAUUCUAACUAUAAAUAUUUAGAAACAAUGCUUUAAUGCAAUAGCUAUGAAUACUCAUAACUAUAACUACUUUCUAAUUUCAUUUACAAAGUAUUUAUGUUUCAAAAUUUUAUAUUUACUCUACAUUCAUUAAUCAAACUUAAAUAAUUAUUAUUAUAAAUAAAAAUAUAUAUUUUUGCAUAAAUAAAAUCAAUAUUACAUAUAAUCACUCCAUUCACUGUAGGAUAUAUACAGUAACGAUUCACUGUAGGAUAUAAACACUAACUAUAAAAAGUACUUUUGUGACUGUUUAGUUUUAAUCUGUUUCUUAUUCAUGAUUUUUCAUGAUAAAAAAUUUGUGGUUCGUGGCAUCAGCUUUUACUAAUUGGAUAAAGAUCCUGGGCCGAUGAAGAGGAAGAAGCAGUCCAUGGUCCCUCUGAUGACUUCACGAGGGACUGAGAUUCACUUAAACUUCCACUGACAGAAGAUUGAGCAAACUUGUUAUGUAAGGCCGUAGCAUACCCUGAUGGAUCAACCAAUGUGCUUGGAACCAUGACGAGAUCCUCGACAUCAGUUUUUCCUUCAAGCAUGCUCACUACUGUAGACAUUGUAGGUCUAAGUGCUGGAGACUGAUUUGUGCAUAGCAGGGCUACAUUGAUCAUUCUAACCACUUCUUUCUUGUUGAAUUCAGACCCCAAUCUUGGAUCAACCAUCUCCAUUAUGUCCCCAUUUUUUUGUAAAUAUAGAGCCUGAAAUAACCAAAAAAAAAAUUAGAUAUAUAUCUGACUAAGAGUAAACAUGAACAGACAAUUAAGAGACUAAAUGGGCAUAACUCACCCUAUCUAGAAGGCAUACAAAAUUUUCAUCCCUCCUAAAUUUGACGUUGUUCAUCCCAGAAACAAUUUCCAAUGCUACAACACCAAAGCUGUAUACAUCUGCCUUGUAAGUUAAGUAACCAUAUAAUGCAUAUUCCGGUGCCAUGUAUCCCCUGCACAGAAAGAAUAACUCAGAGACAUUUUACUAGUUUGCUUCUCUAAAACUUGUAAAAAAUGCUAAAUGUCUAUUGUUUGUUUUUGUUUUCGAUAGGCAAAAUUAUAUUUCUUGCAGCCUAAACAGGAUUUCGAACCCUGGAUGAUAAUAUGAACCAGGCUAAACCUCUCCAAGGGUUAGUCUUAGAGGAACACAGCCAUAGAUGGGGAAACCCUGAUCCAUGAGAACCCUGCGGUGUGUGAUUUGAACCCUAGAUGCCUGCCUACCACAUAUUUUGAAGCUAACCCCUUCCAUCGGCACUUGAGCCCAGUUACAGCAUCAUACUGUUUAAGACUAAAAGCUAUCUUAGAUAAACGACAAUACUUGUGUGUUUUCCUUACAGUUUGUUCAAUAAACCACUUGUGUUAAUAUCAGAAACUCACAUUGUUCCAGCAAUUCUGGUGUCGAUGUGGGUGUUGUCCUCGUCAUCAAGCUUGGCCAUUCCAAAAUCAGAUAUCUUGGCGUUCAUGUCCUUGUCAAGAAGGAUAUUGGUACCUUUUAUGUCUCUAUGAACAAUUUUGAGUGUCGACUCCUCAUGCAGGAAAACCAGACCUUUCGCUAUACUUACACAUAUCCUCUGCCUUGUACGCCAGUCUAGCUUCGUUGCCUUGAUUUCCUUUGUCCCUGUAAUCAUCAUGCAUAAACCAACCCAUCAGUUUCUUCCACACUAAUUCUAUCUAUAUGCCAUUUAAAGAACUUGUUUUCUUUCUCAUUACUUUACAUAAGAUACUAUGGGGAAGUGAUCAGAGGCCUACCGAACAAAACAUGCGCAAGGCUAUUGUUUUCCAUGUAUUCAUAUGCCAGCAACAAUUGCUUCCCCUCAAUGCAACAUCCAUACAAUCUAACAAGAUUUGGGUGUUGCAAAGCAGAAAUCAUGCCUAUCUCAUUCACAAACUCACGAUUCCCCUGUUUUGAUUUCGCUGAAAGCUGCUUAACCGCAAUCCGAGUGCCAUCUGAUAGUACUCCCUAUAAUGAGAAUAAUUUUAGACAAAGAAAAGAAGUUCACUUAACCAUUCCUUGAUGCUUCGAUAAGAAAAAAGAAAUAAUAUAGUAGACAAGUAGCAAGAUGAAAACAAAAAUAUGUACUAUACUUUGUAGACGCAGCCAAAACCACCUUCUCCAAGUUUGUUUGCUGGAUCAAAGUCAUUCGUUGCAGCUUUGAUUUGUCUGAAGGUGAAGAUACCAGUUAGCAGAUCUAACCCAACAAGUUCUGCCCAAGGAACAAAGAGGAUAUGUAUAUAUUAGUUGUUCUGCAUGAAUGAUUCAUCAAAGGAAGAACACAGAUAGUUUUUGCAGUCCUACAAGUAAACAACAUUGAGAUUGCCAAUUCCCAUUGAAAAAACCAUUGUUAGAGAGUACAAAUAUAAAAGCAUUCCUUGAGCUUCGCCAAACGGCUUAAACCUUCAGAUUGAGAUAAUUCUUUGAAAAAUAUAUACAUUCAUGGAUAGAUGUGCAGCAAAUAAGAUGUAGAUAAUUGUUUAUUGCCGUGUUAUUAUAGUGACUGGAUUCCUCACUUGAAUUUGCAAAAUCAAAUAAAUGUAUCAACUGUACCUCGAUCCCUCGAUUUCCUUCCUCCCAAAUAACCUUUCCACCAGAGAGAGGAUAGAAGUAUGAAAACGAGGAAUAAUGACAAAACCACGGCCCCAGCGACAAUGAAUCUCUUCCUCCUGCCUUUAUUAGGAGGCUUGAAGUCUAGGCAGAAAUAGAAUUGCAACAAGAGCAAGUAUUGUCAGAUCACAGUACUAAUUAUUCCUUCAUUACAAUGCCAUUCCAUUAUAUGUCAACCUACCAGAUUCCACAUCAAUGGCUGAUAUUAGAGGACCAUAUAUUCCUUUUUUGGGAGACCUUGUGGUUCCUUUCCCAGCCCAAUGAAGGCGGAUCUCUAAAGCUCCGUUGGUUACAGGUGCUGUAUAAUUAUGAAUGUAUACCUUAUCCACCCCUCCCGCUUCCUUCACUAUAUCAAAAUCCUUCAGCACAACAAUGUCCUGCGAGAACAAUUCUUCAAUUAAGCUGUCACCUAUUGCAUAAGGAAUGAAUCUAUGAUCUUUUAAUUAACAGAUACCUGAAUAUAAACAUCAAAUAUCCGUCUUCCUAGACUGUAGUAGGAUCUGUUAUCCCUCAUUACUAUCUCUGCAAAGUGCAGCUUGACUUUGUAUUUCCCAUUUACCAGACAGCGAACGUGGUAUGUGAGAGACAAAGGCGUGAGGCGUGCAUUUGUGUACAAUACAGAGUUGUCCAUUCUGAGCAUGGACUUGUUUUGUGCUAUGUAGUUAUCCAAGGAAGCAGGAACAUCCCAGAUAUGUCCUGUGGUACUUGUUUGCCAAUCCUCUCUUUUAGACACAUAUUUUGCAGCACCUCCUGGCUCAUCAUCUGCUUCGUAGAUGGUGUUUCCAAUGGUGGCUUCUGGUCCCCCACAAUUUAUGUGCACUGAAUAUCGCUCUAUAUAUAGAAAUAAAAAUGUUUAUGGCCACCGAUAUGAUUAAACAAAUUAUAACACAAGAAAUGUUAAGAUCAGACCGUCUGCUAAAUUGGACCAAACAGAACAGAAACAAUCAAACACAAAAGCAAAUUAAGAUUUUGUGAUGCAGGAGCAUCCAUUUCCUCCUAGAGUGGAAAUCAUGAUGGCACCCACAAUGUAAAUGCCCACACAAAGGUGUUAUAGGGCCACGAUGGGAUGGUCCACACAUAAUAGGACCUUUAUAUUUAUUAUCUAGUGAAUAUAGGAAUAAGUUUGUCCGUUAACAUUUGUCUAGGCUUUUGGGAACAACUGGUUGUUUAUUCCUACACCAGUUGAAGGUCUUAGAUUCGAUUUCUUUACAGAGGAGGAUGAUGCAGAGCAUCAUCUUCCUCUUGGGAUGGAAAUCCUAGUGGUCGGAUGCAUGAUGGGGUAGCCACACGCAAAAGGACCAUUGAGUUUAUGACUGAGAUGCUAUGAUCCAACGAAUAUAGAAAUAAAUAUAUAGUCUAGAAUGACAGGUUGUUCCUGCAUCAUUUUUCUGUCUACUUCCAGGUGAAAUGUAAAAGCGGAUAGCUUUACAAAUUUAAGAGUACCUUCAGAACAAGCACUCAGGCACUCAACAGGUUUCCUGGAAAGAUUGGCCAGAUAUAAUCAUCAGCUUAUUUAAAAGAAAUGACAGAGAAGAAGAAAAUAAAAUGAUCUGUGUUUUAGAUAUUUAUCAACGUAGAAGCUUACGAAUAGUUCCCUCCCCAAGUACUUUUGAACAGAUUUCUGGCAAGACAAGAAGAGUUAAGUUUUGUAGGUUAUGAAGUGAAUGGUGAUGUAAGAAGAAGCAGACUUUCAAAAUCAAAGGCAAGGCAAGGAAAAUGAAAUCAAUCUUACAGUGUUUCUCUACAUUUUGCUUCCGAAGUAAAAUUGUUGUAAGAAAGAUCGAUUUCGCUGCACACAAAGAUAGCUUCCUUAAACAUUCAGCCAGUACUUCUGAAAUUUUUAGAAAAUCGCAUGCACAUAUUAUAGACAGAUACUUGGAAGAUAUUGCAAUCGGUUGGCUUUUGGUUACCAUCUCAAGACAAAAAAGAUGAAUAGACAGAAGAGAUGAAGACAGUUGGGACAGAAAGGACAUGUCUUCACCUCAUGUCUUUUCUAAUUUUAACAUAUAAAAAUUCAAUCCAAAAUUAUCUCAGAGACAAAUUUAUUUUUAUAUCUUCAUCUUCAUCACCGCAACAAAACCAUUUUUGUCCCUACUGUAUUUAUCCUUUCUAUCAGUAUAGCUUGGACAGAAAGGACAAUAACCAAAUGAAACCUUGGAGAUAGUUUGAUCAUUCAUGCACAACUGUACUGAAAACUAUCUGGAAACUGGGAAGGAUCAUUUGUUUAUCAGCUUCUCCAGUAUAGCUCUUCAAAGACUAGGACAUGUUAUUAAACCUACAGACACGCAUCUGUUAUAGGAUAAGGGAAACCUGAAGUUCACGAUUAAGCUCUUGGGUUGAGAAUGUUACAAUAAAGGCGAACUGAAGUUGAUGAUCAUUUCUAUCUUUCAUGCGAGAGGUAAUGGAUAAAAUAUUCAAUAAUUCUAACUGAGUAAAAACAAAAUAUAUUACGAACAAAAAUCUAAAAAAUCAUAAUCCGGAUACGGAAAUUUAGAAAAAACUAACAUACGAGCUAGUAUCUCUUUGGUUGAUCCAUUCUGGGAUGGUCCCUGUAAACAUGUUCCUUGUAAGAUACCUAUACAGAAAGUAAGAAUUGUCAUUUGGUUGAACAUUUGUCCAAGGCUAUCAUUGCAAAAGACUCUGGAGGACAAGUUUAACAUCAUAAUUGUUAUACUCGACCUUGAGAAUAACUUGAAAAAAGGAUUGAGCGAUCAGGUCAGCUCUGGUCAACAUUUUUAUUAAAACAAAUUAAUUUCUGUAUGGUUCAACUAGAAUCUCAAUCCUAGUCCGGCUCCGAGUCCUAGAUUUUCUAGGUCAACUUGUCUACCCGGUCUAGGUUUAAUAACUAUGUUUUCAUAUGGAAAACAUUAAUUUCAGAAGGUAAUAUAAUAUAGUAUACUUACAUUUUCUCCAAGCUUUGUAGGCCUUCAUACUUUUCUGGAAGUGAACCAUUUAAUCUGUUGAAACUAAGAUCCCUGUUUUCGAAAAGAAGAAGAAAAGGAGGGUAAAGACAAAUACAACAUAAACUGAGAACCAUCAUAAUGCAACAUUUAAAGUUAUUUACAAAUACUAAUUUAGCUGCAAUCUAAAAUCAGCAGCUCUAAGCAUCCAUGAGAUUCACACUUCAAUCUUCAUGUAGAUGAAUGACAGAAUGGAUGAUGUAUAAGGGACAGAGUGAAUUACAAAAUUUUCAGCUGUGCCAUUCUGGUCAAAUAUAUGGGAAAAUUUCCUGACAAGUUGCAGUUGCUCAACAGCCUGCAAUAUACAUUAAUUUCAUGUAAGCUAAAUAUAUAUGCUGUGUUGUAAAUUAAAUAUGAUCCUGAUAUGAGAGUAUCAGCUGCAAGAAUAACUCACAGAUACUUAAUGCCUUUUAUAGAUUCUAGGUGGGGAAACUCUGAACCAUCUCCAAGUAAGUUACUUAUUUUUCUGCUCAAUAUUAGACAGCAUAAAAAUGUGAGAUGUUCGGGAUAAAAGUUGUAACUGAGACCAUAAAUUUAAAACAAAUAUCUUACAGAUCAGUUAGAUCAGUCAAGAGAGAGAUGCUUGAAGGAAUGGGUCCAGUGAAACCACCAGCUUGGAUCUCUCUGUUAAUACAAAAUUAAAGGGGGAUUAGGGUUCUGCUUCAGUGAUGAGAUUCGGAGCUUGUGGUAGAAACUAGCACAUACAAUGUAUCAAGUUGUUUCCAGCUCUGAAUAAAAUCAGGUAUUCUUCCAGUGAAGUUAUUGCUGCUAAGCCUUCUGCAUUCGCCGAACGGAAAACACAGAAUCAUGAAACUUGGAGAGUAAAGAGAUGCAUCUGUAAUAUCAAAUACUGCAACGAAUGAGUAUGAUACACAAUAACCAUGAGAAAUGAGAACCUACAGUUCCUUCAAUCCGGUAAGAUUAGUGAGAGCCGGGGGUAACUCUCCAGUGAGAUAAUUGGCACUGAGAGUUCUGCAAUCACAAAAGGAGAAAAACACUUAGCAUUCAAUAAUCAGUUAGGACUUAAUUUCUAAUACAAAAGCUUGAAUGAACUGACAGAUUCUCCAGGUUAACCAAGCCUCCAAGCUCAGGGGGAACAGUUCCGGAAAACAUAUUGUCCUGAAUGUUCCUGCAUAAAUGCCAACUCUCAGGAUUACUCCUGACUAAACAAUUGAACAGAUUUAAAUAUAAAAUUAAAAGACAAGAAAUUGACUAGUAGAAAAAUGCAUACAAUGAUCUAAGUGUGGUAAUAUUUCCCAGAUAGCUAGGGAUUUUUCCUGUCAAGUGAUUCACGCCGAUAGACCUGUUGUUUAUACAAUCUAUUAAUUAUGAGUAAGCAAUUCCUUGGCUAGAAAACAUGAAAGCAGUAUUUUCUUACAAUAUUUCCAGCUUGGUAUUAGCCCAUUCAGAUGGUAUAUUGCCACUCAGGUAGUUGGUCCAGAGAUCUCUGCAGAGCAGAUAGAGUUCUAAUAAAAGCGAAUCAUACGAUGCAAAUUCACGGUGCUCAAUCUGUAGAAAUGUAGUAAUUUGAAGCGCUGCUUACAGAUGUUUAAGGUGUGGUAGUUUCUCGAUAGCCUUUGGGAGACUGCCGUUAAGAUCUUGCCUUUUGAGAUAUCUGCAUUGCAAGAACACAUGGACCCAUCAACUCCUCAAUACUUUCAACCAUUGCAAAUCAACAGCCAAUGGAAUAGAAAACCAAAUUGUUGACAUCUAGCAGAGCUCAGCUUUUCUUCGAAUGAUUUAAACUAUUAAGCCUAAACUUCUGACAAAUGGACCAUUUUCUUUGCUGAAGAUCCUCUCUUAGCUAUUCACUACAUAUUUAGCUUCUUUUUAUAUAAUUUUACUGCUAAUGAAUUUCAUCUGAAUUUCUUAAAAUAAAAUUCAACUAUCGAAGGGGGUUUAUGAGGAGAUUUAAUCCACCACAAAUAGUCCUCCGCUGUUUUCUAGUUAAAAAAUUAUUUUUUAACUUAAAAUAUGAUGCAUAUUAGAUGAUAUAUUUUUAAAAUAUGUAUAUGGUAAUAUAUAUUGAAUGAUUUAAAAAAAAAAUUAAGACGAUAAUAUAUUGGAUAGAUUCUAAUUAACCUGCCAAGUUUGUGACCGGGGUCAUAAGAUCAUGUUAACCCUAUAAAAAAAUCAAAAUAAAUUAUGAAGGUCAAUUACUAAUCAACCCAAUGUUAAAAGAUCAAAUAGAAGAAAAAAAAAAAGACAAAAAAACUACUCAAGUCAACUACAAUCAACCUCCAAACUCACAACUCGGAUCAUGAGAUCGAGAUAACUUAAAAAAAGUUUUUUAAGAAAAUAUGAGGCUCAAUUUCUAAUCAACCCAAUAUUGAAGAUUGAAAUUAGAAAAAAAAAAUCAAUUAAAAAAUAAUAACAAAAACCUAAGUUAACCUAGGCUAACCUAUUAAACCUGUAACUUGGGACAUGAGACAAGAUAACUUCAUAAAAAAAAAUAAAAAAAUUACAAAGCGUCAUUUUCAAUAGAUUCAAUGGUGAAAGUUGAAAUUGAUAAAAAAAAAAAACCAAAUCAUUUAGACCGAGAUAACCCAACAAAAAUCAAAUUGAAAAAAAAAAUACAAAACUUGAUUAUCAAAAAACAUAAUAGUGCAGGAUAAAAUUGAAAAAAAAUUCAUUUAAUGAAGGGAAAAUUAAAAAAUAAUUAAAAAAUAACCAAAAAAUAAAUCGAGUCAACCCAGAUUUACCUACCGAACCCGCGACCUAUGUAAUAAGAUCGAGAUAAUCCAAUAGAAAUUAAAUAAAAAAAAUAAAUAAACCCAAUUAAAAAAUAUUAAAUUACAAAAGGACAAAAAAAUUGAAAUAAGUAUAUUCAGGAUAAUUUGUUAAACUUGCGACUUGAAUUAUAAAAUUGAAAUAAAUUUAUGAAAAGUAAAUAAAAAACCCCAUUGCUGAAAUAAAAAACUAAAUUCAUAAGAUUAAUAUAUAAUUUAAUAAAAUAAAUCGAGCAAAAUUACUAAGCAUAAUUUCUAAAAUGUUUUAACCACAUAUUUAGUGUAUUUUGUUAAUUCCCUGGACUAGCCCCAUCAGAAUCCUUCGGACCUCAAAUUAAAAUUGAAAAUAAAAGCAUGGAGUGGUAAGUGAAGAGAUAUACAUGGCAAUAACGCGGCACACACCCCCAGGAAAUGAGCAGUUGCAAACAACUUUAUUGUCAGCAUCUGACUCUGGAGGUAAAAUUGUAUCAGUGCACAGUGUCAUAUUGCGAUUCCAGCCUUUUUUGCCCAGUUGUGUUGCUACUUCAAGUAAGGCUUCCACUGCAUAAAUCAAAAUUAAAUCUCAACUUCUAAUUCUGGGAUGAUUAGGUGGUGGCUUCUACAAUGCCUUGCCAAGAAAUGUUUGCAAAAAACACAGAAUUCUGUAAAAAAAAUCACUGCGAGAUGCCAUUAUUAACAUGGUUACAGAAUUCGGUAAUACAAUCAAAUUUGAUGACUGCAUUAUCGAAGAGUAUGAUGUAGUGAGGAUCUUGCUAGAAGAAGGCAUUACAAGUGUAUGUCUUCCUCUAAACAUUAAAGAAUCUGCUCAUCUGAACCAAAUUAAAAAUAUAUAUGUACCUUCAUCAGGAGCAAGGCUCCCAUCUUGGGCCUCCAAGUUAAUUGCUCCCAUGCAAAACAUUAGUAACAUAAGCAUAAGUAAGCUAGAUGUGACUCUCAAGAUAUCAAAGAGUGCAGUGGCCAUCUUCUUUUGUCUGCAAUCCACUUAAGAGUUAGUAGGCUGCCUGAAGAGAGCUUUAUGCGUUAUUAUAGUCGACCUUUCAUGAUGUGGGGUCUUUCUUACCUUGUCUUAUAUGCUUUCAGCCAGGCACACCACUAUUAGGUAUUACGUGUGGUUGGCAGCCGAACUUAAUAUUAUUGAAUUUUAUUGGGUUGUUAGAUAUUUUUAAUUUAAUUUAAUUUUAUUUUUAGAUUUAUUUUUUAUUUAAUUCUUUUGUUAUAUGGUAAAGAGAAAAUAAAUUGUAUAAAAAUUAGGUGAUGAUAUUUUUUUUUUUCAUUUGAAGUUGAGUUGAAUUUUCUUAUUAAAACAUGUUUGUUUUUGCCUUUCAAAAAUACUUUAAAAAAAUUAAAUUUUUUUAUUUAAUUCAAUUUAAUAUUUUUUGAUGUUUUUGUAUUAUUUUGAUGUGAUGAUAUAAAAAACCAAUUUUAAAAAAAAAUAUUGUCUCAAUAUAUUUUAAAAAAAUAAUCAUUACGUAAUAAUAUACGAGUUAACAUAUUGGCCUAUGCUUUACAGCGGGUCAAUAAAAAAAAUUUCAAAUGUAAAAAUGUUUAAGUUAGGUUAAAAGCAUGGAAUGUAUUUGCACUAUCACCAUCUCCAACUAAAGCAUUUUUUACAAUAGCAUCAUGAAUAGCGCAUAACAUAGCAGCGCCCAAUACACUGACAACUGAUUUUUUUCCCUUUAAUUUUUUUUCUUUUAAGAUAUUUUCAAUUUUAUUUUUUUUUCUCUUUAAUUUUUUUUUAUUUUCUCUUAUUGAUUAUUUUUUCAUAUUGUAAAGAACAAAUAAAUUGAUGUGAUUUUUUUUAUAUUGUACAAAAAUUAAGUGAUGAUAAUUUUUUGUUAUUUUCAGAUUAAGUUGAAUUUUCUUAUCAAUUAUUUUUGCGUUUCAAAAAUAAUUUAAAAAAAAUUUAAAAGUCAAUAUUAUAAAAUGUAUAUAUAAGCACACACGUGAAAGUAUAACUUUGUCUGUACUAGACGACUUGUGCCUUUCCAUUUUUUGUCUAGUCAACGGGAAGAUUAGUAGGUCAAAACUAAUAAUAUAAACAUUUUAUAAUAUUGACUUUUAAAUUUAUUUAAAAUUAUUUUUGAAACGGAUAAAAAAAACUCGCUUUAUAUAAAGAUUUCAUAUUCGAGCCUCGCACAGGCAGCUUCCUAAAAAAGAUGGUAUAUCAACAUGAUUUGAUUAUUAACAGAAACAAUAAAACCAAAAAUAUAUUUAAUUAUAUAUAUAUAUAUAUAAAUUUAUUUUUGAAAUAAUUUUACAAUGAAUUUUUUAUUUUUAAAAUAUCUUUAUAAAAUAUAUUUAUUAAUCCAAUUGUAUUGAAUAAUAUCUCAAAAUGAAAUAUCAUAAAGAAUAUCAUUUCAAAGUUGGAUUCCUACCAGUCUCUCUUGGGUGGCUCUAUGAGAUUCCGUGUGUUUUUUUCUAUGGAAUCUUAAGCUUCUAGUAUGCUGAGAUGAAAAUUAUUUAGCACGUGUUGGUUUUCUAGUCCUCCACACUAUUUGACCAAAAUACUAAAUCAAUUUUUUAUAUUGUUAUUAUUAUUAUUAUUGACAUUGACAAAGUAUUUUGUUUUUACAAACGGAUGCGUUAGGAAAUUAAUAUAAACCAACGGUUAUAUAAAAAAAAAAUUGAAGUUUAAAAAGAGAAUGUGUUAGUGAGUUAAUUUAAAAUAAUUUUUUAAAUUAUUAAGUUUAAAUUUUUUUAAUUAAAAUAGUUAUUUGAUACGAUAAAUUAUAUCAUAAGCAAAUUAAAUAAUUAAUAUAUAUAUAACUGCAAAUCUUUUGACUCUGAUAAAAAACAAAUUAACAUAGGCCUUAAAAUGCAAUCUAAUUUCCAAUUCGAGUAGGCAUGCAAAAUAUGAGACCAUAACUCGAUGCCUACAUCAAAAUUGAAGAGGGUAUCAGAUAUGUUUUUCAUUAAUUAAUGAUUAAUUAGAAUUUAGUGUUUAUUGUUUAUUAAAAUUAAUUAAUUAAUCGCUGUCAUAUAAAAAAUAAUUAAAUCAUUACUGUUUUAGUGUUUACCAUGUUUAAUUUAAUAGUAUUUUAUUUCAGAAAAUGCCUUUUAUUAUCAAACUUUCUAUCCUAAGUACUUAUUCUUAAAAUAAAAAAUCAAAACAAAAUGAAAACGAAUAUGACAUGGACAAAAAGGAUGAAAUUAUAAAUGAAUAUAAAAUAUUGGGAUUAAAUAAUUAUUUCUAAAAAUUAACCACGAGGAUUAACUAAUUGUUUUUAUUAAACUACAAAAACUAAAUUAUAAUUAACUCUUAAUUAAUCUUUUGGCCGUAAUCAACGUUAAAGUUAGUAGCAAAAACUUAAUGAGAAAUAGGUGCCAAUUCGAUGCAUUAAUCAUCAAUGAUAAUUGUAAAUUGUCAAAUAAUCAUGAAAACUACUUAAUUGAUGAAUUUAUAUUAUUUUUUUUAUGUUGUACAAAAAUUAAGUGAUGAUAAUUUUUUAUCAAUAUUAUAAAAUGUGUAUAUAUAUAUAUAUAUAUAUAUAAGCUGACAGUUAAAAGGACAAGUUUGUCUGUACUAGACGACUUGUGCCCUUUCCAAAUUUUUAUCUAGUCAACGGGAAGAGUAGUAGGUCAAAACUAAUAAUAAAUAUCAUGGGAAAUUGGAGAGGAAGUAUCCGAACUAAGAAAGAAGAAUAUAUUUCUGAAAUAAUUUUACAAUGAAUUUUAUAUUUUUAAAAUACAAGAUACAGAGAAGAGAUGCUAUAAUUUCAGACAUAAUAUUUUUUAUUUUUUAUUUAAAAUAUAUUUAUUAAUCCAAUUGUAUUGAAUAAUCUCUCAAAAUGAAAUAUCAUAAAGAAUAUCAUUUCAAAGUUGGAUUCCUACCAGUCCCUCUUGGGUGGCUCUAUGAGAUUCCGUGUGUUGGUUUUCUAGUCCUCCACACUAUUUGACAAAAAUACUAAAUCAAUUUUUUAUAUUGUUUUUAUUAUUAUUAUUAUUAUUAUUAUUAUUAUUAUUAUUGACAUUGACAAAGUAUUUUGUUUUUACAAACGGAUGCGUUAGGAAAUUAAUAUAAACCAAUGGUUAUAUAUAUAUAUAUAUAAAAAUUGAAGUUUAAAAAGAGAAUGUGUUAGUGAGUUAAUUUAAAAUAAUUUUUGAAAUUAUUAAGUUUAAAUUUUUUUAAUUAAAAUAAUUAUUUGAUACAUAAAUUAUAUCACAAGCAAAUCAAUUAUAAAAAAACAAUUAACAUAGGCCUUAAAAUGCAAUCUAAUUUCCGAUUCGAUUAGGCAUGCAAGAUACGAGGCAAUAACUCGAUGCCUACAUCAAAGUAGAAGAGGGUAUCAGAAAUGUUUUUCAUUAAUUAAUGAUUAAUUAGAAUUUAGUGUUUAUUGUUUAUUAAAAUAAAUUAAUUACUAUUAAACUAGAAAUUUAUAUUACUAUUUUGUGUUUAAUUUUAUUAAUUUAAUCAAGAAAAAAAUAGGAUAUUAAAAUUAAAAAAUAGGUAAUAUUCGGUUGUUAAAAUUAUAUUAUUUUGUUAAAAAAUAAAAAAAAGUUGAAGCUAAUGAUUCUUUUUGUGUGCUUAUAAAUUUCUCAUCAAUAAUUCAGUGCUCAUGCCAGGACAACAUAUCCUGCUUCGAUCUAAAUUCAUGAUAACCAUUAACAAAAAAAAAUUAAAUAAAUAAAAACUAAAAGAUCUGUUUGGAAGUGUAAUGCUUUUAUAUACUUUUUAAAAAUAUAUUUGUCUUAAAAAAUAUUAAAUUUAUAUUUUUUAGUAUUUUUUAUAAUUUUAAUAUAUUAAUAUUAAAAAUAUUAUUUAAAAAUAUUAUUUUAAUAUGUUUUCAAAUAAAAAUCAUUUUUAAAAAGAUAUAAUACACUACAUCAUCAAAGAGAUAAUAUUUUUACUUUAUAUCAUCUCACAAAAUUAAUAUUUUCUUUUGUGCCUUUGUUUUUAAAAAAUCUAUGUUUUCCUAUUUUUAAUUAAAAAUAUAUCCUUCUAUGCAAAACUUAUUUAACUGAUAUUUAUGGAUUUUUUUUAUUUUUAUCAUUGUUUUUUCGUAAUCAAGUUAACUUAAAAGUAAUUUAGUCAUUUAACAAAUAUUAAUAUUAAUAAAACAAAGUGAUUCACAUGUGCAUUGCACGUAUUAGUGUUUGACAGUCAAACAAUGGCUUCUGAGUAGGCAUUCGAGUCAUCUUGAUAGCCUCUACAUCCCUGGGCAAAGUGUAUGGCCAACGGGCCUUUGGAUUGGCUCAUUUAGCCUUUUUUUCACUUUUUUUUUUCUCCUUGCUUUCCAUGUCUAACCCUUCAAAUUUUCAAAGCAACCAUUUAAUUUGAUUUUCCUUCCAAUAUGGUCCAUCUUUAUAGAAUUGGAUUUUUUUUUCAAUUUCAUCCUCCUUUAAAUUUUUUUUAUCUAUCAGAUUUGGUCAUCAUUCUUUUGAUUACUAUUUAUUUUAUUUGAGAUGGUUUUUAAAAUUGAUUUUUUUAGGAUUUCAUUCUCCUUCAAUUUUUUUUUCCUACAAGAUUUGAUUCAUAUUCUUUUAAUUGUUAUUUUUUCUACUAUGAAUUUUUUAAAUUAAUUUUUUUUUCAAUUUCAUCCUUUAACAUUAAAUUUGCUGGAAAUUGAGCUUAUUGAUUAAGCUUGGGUUGAGGAUUUCACGAGUUGCGGAUUUGGAAAAUUAACUCAGGUUUAGAAUAUUCUCUUGAAUUUGCUUGGUUGUUUUUUUCAAUUUUUAAUCUUAUGUUUUUUUUAGUUUGAUCCAUUGAUAUUUAUUUAAUUGGAGAUUAGACUUCAUUAUUUUUUAUUUUCUUUCUAUAUGAAUUUUCACCGGGUUUGAAAAUGACCAGGGUUUUUCUUAUAGGAUAUAUAGAUGGUGUUAUUAUAGGAUUCCAAUUCAUCCCAUAGUUGUUUUUUAAGUUUUAUGUAGUCUGACCUUGAGUAAGGCAAGAAAUAUCUCAUUCAAUUUGAAAAAUACAAAGAACAUUGCCUUGUUAAAAACGAUCUCUAAGGUCUUCCUAUACUUCUUGUGUUGUGAUUGAAAAAAUAACAUUGUCUGCAAUGUCUUAUGUGAGUGAAUUAAGGAUCCAAGAAAAAAUCAUAUGAUUGUAUUUUUUCCAUGAGGCAUAUUCAUCUAGCUUGUUUGUUUCAAUGACAUGGAAAUGGUUCCAUUUAUAAAACCUAGCUUGGAUUUGGCAUUCAACAAAAUCAUCAUGUUCGUGCACCAUAUAAGAGGCUUUGAGAUGAGCACUGUAUCUGGAUGAUCUGAAUGGUACAAAGUAUAUGGAUUGUUGUUCAAUGGUUGAUGUUCCUCCAUGAUGAUUGAUAGUAGCAGAAUAAUAAUAAUAAUAAAAAAAGUUACUAGAAAGGCUAGGGUAUUGAACCUAACUCUAAUACCAUGUAAAGAAAAUAAAAUAGAAAUUUGUAUGUAUUUUUUGUAUUAGGAAACAUGUACUUUAUAUAAGAGAGUUGCUUUAAUUAUGCUUUUUUAUUAUUAGUCUAAGUGUAAAAUAAUUAUGCUUUUUUAUUAUAAGUAGUUUAAGUGUAAAAGGAAACUAAAAAUAAUUACAGGAAAAAUACAUUAAAUAAAAUAUAUUCUCUUUGAAUGAACAUAUAUUUCCUAAUACAGAGAAUUCUCCAUCAUUCUGUACUGCUAUAAAACAAAUGGUUGUUUGGAUUAGUUUUCUUUUACCACCUUAACAUAUAAUAGUAAACAUCAUAAGUUCAGGCAACAGCAAACACAUCAUAAAAACUGAUGAAAUUAGAGAACAUCAACAACAUAGUAAUUAUAAGGCAAACCAAACAUCAAGCAGCUUACCAUAAGUAGGGGGUACUAGGGGUGCUAAAACCUUCUCUUUACGCAAUUAAUCCUCUACCUUAGAAUCUCUGAAAGACCAGUUAGGUUUUUAAUGACUGUAAUACUAGGUAGUGACUCUUUUUUUUACAAAACAAAGACCCUGACAUCAUUCCCCGCUCCCGGGAAGGGUCGCCACGACGCCACGCUCUUGCGAGGGUGCAACAAGGGGGAAAAACCUUCUUGUCCUACUUGCAGCGCGUCUAGGGGAAGAAGAUAGCAAGUAGUGCCAUCAAAAUGGCAUCGUUUCAUCUGUCUUUUUUUUUUUUAUAACAGUGAAUGAAACGGUGUUAUUUUGUACAAAAUGUGUUGUUUAAUUUAAAAGAAAAUGACGCCAAAAAGUCUUUGUUUCCAAAUCAGUCCUCAAUUGAGAUUUUGGUUUUAAGAAUCAAUUCAAUUGCAUCCCUGUCAAAUUUAAAUGUCAGCUCCGAAGUUAGUCCCCCUUUUCACUUUAAUCCUUGGUUUUGAAUUUGUGUAUUUUGACCCUUAAUUGUUCAACAAACUUCCAAUUUCUUCAAUUUAGCCUCUAAUUCAGUCAAUUUCAGCCCCUAUAUUAAUGUCUUUUCAAGUUUGGUCCUUAGUUUUGGAUUUCUUCAAUCAAGUCCCUAAUUGCCCAUCAAACUUCAAUAUUUACGCAAUUAAGUCCUUGAUUUGACCAAAUUAAAUCUUAUUAAAUCUUAAAAAUUAUGAUGCGACCCCUAAACUUUAAUUUCUUCUAAUUAAAGCCUAAAUUGACUUUAAAAAAUCAAAUUUUCUUGCAAUUAAACCCUCCAUAAAUUCAAUUAGACCUUAAACAAAUUCUAAUUGGUUCCUUAAACAUUCAAUUUUAAAUUUUUCUUCUCAAAUUGAAUUUUGUUUAUCAAUAGAGCCUUCAUCAGUCAAAAAUAUACUGUCAAAUUUUAAUCUUUGUAUUUUUGAACUUCCUCAACCAAUCUUUGGUCAUUUUCUGGAGGCCCCAAUGUCCUCUUUUCACUACUAUAUAUUUUUUUGUUUUCUUCCGACAAUGUUCUUGAUUUUUUUAUUUUUUUAUUUUUUUUUGUGUGGGGACCUAAAAAUAGAUAAUAACAAAUCAAAUUGAAAAUAAAAAAAUUCACUAUUAAAAUCCACGUUGAUGAACAAUAAUUAACAAUAAAAACACUACAAUAAAACCUCUUUCGGUUUUAGUUUAUACUAUAAUUUUGGAAAGGAAUUUGGUCCUUUAGGCCAUUCUAGGGACGAAUAAUGCUGAGUAUUUGGGCUGUUGAAUGGUUAAGAAACUACAUGUGUAUGUAGUCUUUGUAUGUACAUGUGAAUAGAGGAUAUAUAUAUAUAUAUAUAUAUGGUUAAGAAACUACAUGUGUAUGUAGUCUUUGUUUGGGAAAACGGUUUGAAGAGGAGCAUCUGGAUUUGAAACUACCACCUCUUUGGAUUUUGAGAGAUUUGUAUCUGUUGAUUAGUCAAGUUCAAGGUUACUUGUCUUGAUCAAAAUUUGUUUUUCUUACAAAGAGGAUUCUUCUUUUACUUCAGAGAAUGCAGACACUAAUUGUUGGAGCAACUUUUGGGUUUCCAAAGGCAGAACCUUUAGUUUGCUUAUUUCAAGUUGGGAAAUUUUAUCUUCAUCUGAAACCAUUUGAGCCCAUGAUCUGGACUUUUGUUUCUACUCUUUUAGAAUAUAAAGGCCUUUUCCUUUCUCUUUGUCUUUCUGUUUAGAUGGCAUUGGGUCGUCUUCCCUGCAAAAAAUUCUCUUCUUAAGGAAUUCUAGCGGGGAAUUUGAUUUUUCUUUGAUACAUUCAAUAUCAGAAUCGAAAAUACUGAAAAUAGCUUGCUAUGUGGCAAAAGAUGUAAGGGUUUGCAACAAUGGAAAUGUGUCGGAUGCAAUAUGGCUGAGAUUAAGGUAGAAGUAUAAAAUAUAAUUAAGACUUUCAAGAAAUCUUUGCAAUUGCUUGUUAUGAAGGAUUUGAUAUGGGGACUUGUCACCAUUGACUUUCCAUGGAAAUAAUUGUUAAGGAUGAAUCCAACUUUAACUUAGUUUUUUAAUAACCGGUUUUUUUUAUAAUUAUUAUUUAUUUUAUAAAAAAAAAACAUAAUGUAUAUUAGUCUCCAUAAUUUUGACUAUUUUGACUAUGAAAUUUUAGAAAUAAUAGAAAUACUCAUAAUUAUAACUACUUUAUAAUUUUAUUUAUAAAGUAUUUAUGUUUCAAAAACUUUAUAUUUACCCUAGGUUCAUUAAUCAAACUUAAAUAAUUAUUAUUAUAAAUAAAAAUAUAUAUUUUAGCAUAAAUAAAGUCAAUAUUACAUAUAAUCACUCCAUUAACUAUAGGAUAUAUAAACUAGCAAUAAUAAGUACUGAUUAAUGAGUAAUGAUUCAUACCAGGAAACAUGAAUCACGAAUAAAAGAUAAUAGCAAUCUGUUUCUUAUUCAGGAUUUUUCAUGAUAAAAAAGUUAGUGGCUUGUGGCAUCAGCUUUUACUAAUUAGAUAAAGAUCCUGGGCUGAUGAAGAGGAAGAAGCAGUCCAUGGUCCCUCUGAUGACUUCACGAGGGACUGAGAUUCACCUAAACUUCCAUUGACAGAAGAUUGAGCAAACUUUUUAUGUAAGGCCGUAGCAUACCCUGAUGGAUCACCCAAUGUGCUUGGAACCAUGACGAGUUCCUCGACAUCAGUUUUUCCUUCAAGCAUGCUCACUACUGUAGACAUUGUAGGUCUAAGUGCUGGAGAUUGAUUUGUGCAUAGCAGGGCUACAUUGAUCAUUCUAACCACUUCUUUCUUGUUGAAUUCAGACCCCAAUCUUGGAUCAACCAUCUCCAUUAUGUCCCCAUUUUUUUGUAAAUAUAGAACCUGAAAUAACCAAAAACAAAAAACUAGAUAUAUAUCUGACUAAAAGUAAACAUGAACAGACAAUUAAGAGAUUAAAUGCGCAUAACUUACCCUAUCCAGAAGGCAUACAAAAUUUUCAUCCCUCCUAAAUUUGACGUUGUUCAUCCCAGAAACAAUUUCCAAUGCUACAACACCAAAGCUGUAUACAUCUGCCUUGUAAGUUAAGUAACCAUAUAAUGCAUAUUCCGGUGCCAUGUAUCCCCUGCACAGAAAGAAUAACUCAGAGACAUUUUACUAGUUUGCUUCUCUAAAACUUGUAAAAAAUGCUAAAUGUCUAUUGUUUGUUUUUGUUUUCGAUAGGCAAAAUUAUAUUUCUUGCAGCCUAAACAGGAUUUCGAACCCUGGAUGAUAAUAUGAACCAGGCUAAACCUCUCCAAGGGUUAGUCUUAGAGGAACACAGCCAUAGAUGGGGAAACCCUGAUCCAUGAGAACCCUGCGGUGUGUGAUUUGAACCCUAGAUGCCUGCCUACCACAUAUUUUGAAGCUAACCCCUUCCAUCGGCACUUGAGCCCAGUUACAGCAUCAUACUGUUUAAGACUAAAAGCUAUCUUAGAUAAACGACAAUACUUGUGUGUUUUCCUUACAGUUUGUUCAAUAAACCUCGUGUUAAUAUCAGAAACUCACAUUGUUCCAGCAACUCUGGUGUCGAUGUGGGUGUUGUCCUCGUCAUCAAGCUUGGCCAUUCCAAAAUCAGAUAUCUUGGCGUUCAUGUCCUUGUCAAGAAGGAUAUUGGUACCUUUUAUGUCUCUAUGAACAAUUUUGAGUGUCGACUCCUCAUGCAGGAAAACCAGACCUUUCGCUAUACUUACACAUAUCCUCUGCCUUGUACGCCAGUCUAGCUUCGUUGCCUUGAUUUCCUUUGUCCCUGUAAUCAUCAUGCAUAAACCAACCCAUCAGUUUCUUCCACACUAAUUCUAUCUAUAUGCCAUUUAAAGAACUUGUUUUCUUUCUCAUUACUUUACAUAAGAUACUAUGGGGAAGUGAUCAGAGGCCUACCGAACAAAACAUGCGCAAGGCUAUUGUUUUCCAUGUAUUCAUAUACCAGCAACAAUUGCUUCCCCUCAAUGCAACAUCCAUACAAUCUAACAAGAUUUGGGUGUUGCAAAGCAGAAAUCAUGCCUAUCUCGUUCACAAACUCACGAUUCCCCUGUUUUGAUUUCGCUGAAAGCUGCUUAACCGCAAUCCGAGUGCCAUCUGAUAGUACUCCCUGUAAUGAGAAUAAUUUUAGACAGAAAUAAGUUCACUUAGGCCAUUCCUUGAUGCUUCGAUAAGAAAAAAGAAAUAAUAUAGUAGACAAGUAGCUAGAUGAAAACAAAAAUCUGUACUAUACCUUGUAGACGCAGCCAAAACCACCUUCUCCAAGUUUGUUUGCUGGAUCAAAGUCAUUCGUUGCCGCUUUGAUUUGUCUGAAGGUGAAGAUACCAGUUAGCAGAUCUAACCCAACAAGUUCUGCCCAAGGAACAAAGAGGAUAUGUAUAUAUUAGUUGUUCUGCAUGAAUUAUUCAUCAAAGGAAGAACACAGAUAGUUUUUGCAGUCCUACAAGUAAACACAAUUGAGAUUGCCAAUUCCCAUUGAAAAAACCAUUGUUAGAGAGUAAUAUAAAACCAUUCCUUUAGCUUCGCCAAGCAGCUUCAACCUUUGAAUUGAGAUAAUUCUUUGACAAAUGUAUGCAUUCAUGGAUCGAUAUACAGAAAAUAAGACGCAGAAAAUUGUUUAUUGCCGUGUUAUUUUAGUGACUGGAUUCCUCACUAGAAUUUGCAAAAUCAAAUAAAUGUAUCAGCUGUACCUCGAUCCCUCGAUUUCCUUCCUCGCAAAUGACCUUUCCACCAAAGAGUGGAUAGAAAUAUGAGAAUGAGGAAUAAUGGCAAAACCACAGCUCCAGCGACAAUGAAUCUCUUCCUCCUGCCUUUAUCAGGUGGCUUGAAGUCUAGGCAGAAAUAGAAUUGCAGCAAGAGCAAGUAUUGUCAGAUCACAGUACUAAUUAUUCCUUCAUUACAAUGCCAUUCCAUUAUAUGUCAACCUACCAGAUUCCACAUCAAUGGCUGAUAUUAGAGGACCAUAUAUUCCUUUUGUGGGAGACCUUGUGGUUCCUUUCCCAGCCCAAUGAAGGCGGAUCUCUAAAGCUCCAUUGGUUACAAGUGCUGUAUAAUUAUGAAUGUAUACCUUAUCCACCCCUCUCGCUUCCUUCACAACAUCAAAAUCCUUUAACACAACAAUUUCCUGCGUGAACAAUUGUUCAAUUAAGCUGUCACCUAUUGCAUAAGGAAUGAAUCUAUGAUCUUUGAAUUAAUACAUACCUGAAUAUAAACAUCAAAUAUCCGUCUUCCUAGACUGUAGUAGGAUCUGUUAUCCCUGAUUACUAUCUCUGCAAAGUGCAGCUUGACUUUGUAAUUCCCAUUUACCAGACAGGGAACGUGGUAUGUGAGAGACAAAGGAGUGAGACGUGCAUUUGUGUACAAUACAGAGUUGUCCAUUCUGAGCAUGGACUUGUUUUUUGCUAUGUAGAAAUCCAAGGAAGCAGGAACAUCCCAGAUAUGUCCUGUGGUACUUGUUUGCCAAUCCUCUCUUUUGGACGCAUAUUUUGCUGCACCUCCUGGCUCAUUAUCUGCUUCGUAGAUGGUGUUUCCAAUGGUGGCUUCUGGUCCCCCACAAUUUAUGUGUACUGAAUAUCGCUCUAUUCAUAGAAAUAAAAAUGGUCAUGGCCACCGAUAUGAUUAAACAAAUUAUAACACAAGAAAUGUUAGGAUCAGACCGUACGCUAAAUCGGAGCAAACAGAACAGAAACAAUUAAGAUUUUGUGAUGCAGGAGCAUCCUUUUCCUCCUAGAGUGGAAAUCGUGGUGCGACCCACGAUGUAAAUGCCCACAUAAUAGGACAUUAUCUAGUGAAUAUAGGAAUAAGUUCGUCCGUUAACAUUUGUCUAGGCUUUUGGGAUCAACUGGUUGUUUAUUCCUACACCAGUUGAAGGUCUUAGAUUCGAUUUCUUUCCAGAGGAGGAUGAUGCAGAGCAUCAUCUUCCUCUUGGGAUUGAAAUCCUAGUGGUCGGAUGCAUGAUGGGUAGCCACACGCAAAAGGACCAUUGAGUUUAUGACUGAGAUGCUAUGAUCCAACGAAUAUAGAAAUAAAUAUAUAGUCUAGGCUGACAGGUUGUUCCUGUUAGCAUUAUGGAGACAGCAAUGACCCGCCAUGUGCAAGUGGGAAUACCUAAUUCCCCUUUUGCACAUGGUGGAGGACACAAAGUGGAGGCAACGGUGGGCAUCAAUCAUGCCCCUUCAAUCAUCCAUUGUAUAUGUAUAGCUAUGUGUGUGUGUGUGCUUAGGUGUGUAUGAAGAACAGAGAGAGCAGCGUGAGAAACACAGAGAGAAGAGAGAACAGAGAAGAAUAGAGAGAGCUUGAGAGAGUAGAGUUGAGUUGAGUUGAGAGAGUUUUAUCUCCUCCUCCUUUGUUUGUAUUGUUUGUAAGCUUCAUUAAUACAAACCAGUAGCUCCGUGGAGUAGGCAAGUUGUCGAACCACGUAAAUUUGUGUGUGUUUGAGUUCUGGAAUGGCCCAACAACUGGUAUCAGAGCUUGUUCUUGAAAAAGAGGGUGUUUGAUCCAAACUCAAAAAUCAAAGUGCUCCAAACGUGUUUUUGACAUUACCAUUGCGUAGAGGAAGAAGAGAAGAAUUCUCUGGUGAAAACCCGGCGAAGAACCGACGUCCUGCAUGCCCGCACGCGCCACCACGCUCCGACAACAGCACUGCCCACGCGUGACCACUCGCGCCACGCUCUCCACGCGUCAUCUUCAUCCGAUUGUCUGCAACUGAACCGGGUUGACCCGCCACGCCAGCAGCCAGUCAUCAGCCACGCCAGCAAUUCUGCACAGUCAUCCGCCACGUCAUCAGGCACGUCAUCAUACACGUUAGCAACUGCCACGUCAGUCGAACCGCGCGUGUAGUUGCCACGUCAGCACAAGUAGGCCCGAGUUUGGCUUACGUGGAUGACACGUCGCAUGCCACGUCAUCGAUUUGGGUUUGAUUCAGUGUUUCGCAAACACUAUUUUGGCCUGCCACGUGGCUUCAUCAGCACCGUCUGUUGACCUAAAACUUUGACUGUUAAGAUCUGAGCCAUCCGAAGUCCGAUUGGGGUGUUCUCAGUGUCGUUUCCAAUAGUUUUGGCCGUUCCGGACACAUCUGUAAGGUCAGAUUUGACAGAUUCAAAUCCGAGACAUAUUAAAAAUGGCAGAUGAAAUAAAGGCUGCGGGAAUUGAAAAAUUUGAUGGAACAGAUUUUGGAUAUUGGAAAAUGCAAAUUGAAGACUAUUUAUAUGGGAAGAAACUUCAUCUUCCUCUGUUGGGGAGCAAACCAGAAAAUAUGCCAGAAGAAGAUUGGCAAAUUCUUGAUAGACAGGUUUUGGGCAUUAUCCGGCUAUCCUUGUCGAGAAGAGUUGCUUACAAUGUUACAAAAGAAAGAUCCACUGCAAGACUAAUGGAAGCUUUGUCUGGGAUGUAUGAGAAGCCCUCAGCAAAUAACAAAGUGCACCUGAUGAAGAAGUUGUUCAACUUGAAGAUGACAGAAAGCACCUCUGUUACACAACAUCUCAACAACUUCAAUACCAUCACAAAUCAAUUGUCAUCUGUUGAGAUUGAGUUUGAUGAUGAGAUUCAUGCACUCAUUUUGCUAGCUUCACUUCCAAGCAGUUGGGAAGGUAUGAGGACAGCCGUGAGCAACUCAGCUGGAAAAUCCAAACUGAAAUAUGAUGACAUCCGAGACUUGAUUUUAGCUGAAGAAGUGCGAAGGAAAGACUCAGGUGAAAGUUCAAGUUCAGGAUCAGCACUCAACAUUAACACUCGAGGGAGGAGACAGGAUAGAGGCUUAUCCAGAAGCAGAUCAAAAUCAAGAUACAGAAGUAAAAGCAAGUUCGGACCCAGAAAGCAGGUUGAAUGUUGGAAUUGUGGCAAACCUGGUCAUUUCAUGAGGAAUUGCGCAAAACCGAAAAAACCUGAAGCUGACUCUGCAAACGCUACCACAGAUGAGGUGCAAGACGCUUUGAUUCUUGCUGUACAAAGUCCAAUUGAUGAUUGGAUUCUUGAUUCUGGUGCUUCAUUCCACUGUACACCACACCAUGAGAUGAUGCAAAACUAUGUUGCUGGAGAUCACGGUGUAGUCUAUCUGGCCGAUGGACAACCAAUGGAGAUUGUGGGUGUAGGAGAUGUGCAAAUCAAGACAAUGAAUGGUUCUACAUGGAACUUGCAGAAUGUAAGGCAUGUUCCUGGAUUAAUGAAGAAGUUGAUCUCUGUUGGACAGCUUGACGAUAGUGGUCAUGAAAUACGUUUUGCUGGAGGUAUGUGGAAAGUAUCAAAAGGUGCAAUGGUUUUAGCUCGUGGAAAGAAAACCGGCACCCUGUAUAUGACCACAAGAGUUGCAGACACCAUUGCCUCUACAGAAGCAGAAAAUCAGGCACAGCUAUGGCACUAUAGAUUUGGCCAUAUGAGUCAAAAGGGGAUGAAGAUACUUCAGUCGAAGGGAAAGCUGGCAGAAUUAAAAAAUGUCGAUCUAGACAUUUGUGAAAGUUGUGUUCUUGGAAAACAGAAGAAGCUCAGUUUCUUGAAGGUUGGCAGGACCUUAAGACCAAGAAAGCUAGAGCUGGUACACACAGAUUUAUGGGGACCGUCUCCAGUAGCAUCUCUUGGAGGUUCUCGGUAUUACGUGACUUUCAUUGAUGAUUUCAGCAGGAAGGUAUGGGUCUACUUUCUGAAAAAUAAAUCUGAUGUGUUUGAAACAUUCAAGAAAUGAAAGGCUAUGGUUGAGACUGAAUCAGGUCUAAAGUUGAAAUGCUUAAGAUCUGAUAAUGGAGGAGAAUACAUUGAUGGAGGUUUCAAGGAGUAUUGUGCUGUCAAUGGUAUCAGAAUGGAAAAGACCGUUCCAGGCACACCGCAACAGAAUGGCAUUGAUGAACGGAUGAACAGGACCAUCAAUGAACGAGCUAGAAGCAUGAGGUUGCAUGCAGGGUUACCUCAAACAUUCUGGGCUGACGCAGUUCAUACCGCAGUUUACUUGAUCAACCGUGGACCAUCAGUUCCUUUGGAGUUCAGACUGCCCGAGGAAGUAUGGAGAGGAAAAGAGGUACAACUCUCUCAUUUAAAGGUCUUUGGGUGUGUUUCCUAUGUUCAUAUAGAUUCUGAUGCUCGCAACAAAUUGGAUGCCAAAUCCAAGAAAUGUUUCUUCAUCGGCUAUGGAGAUGAAGAAUUUGGCUUUCGGUUCUGGGAUGAUCAGAAUAGAAAGAUNNNNNNNNNNNNNNNNNNNNNNNNNNNNNNNNNNNNNNNNNNNNNNNNNNNNNNNNNNNNNNNNNNNNNNNNNNNNNNNNNNNNNNNNNNNNNNNNNNNNNNNNNNNNNNNNNNNNNNNNNNNNNNNNNNNNNNNNNNNNNNNNNNNNNNNNNNNNNNNNNNNNNNNNNNNNNNNNNNNNCAUAUCUGUAGCCGUCAUAGCCGAACCGCGGAGCCAAUUGAACCAGCUGUUCGCAGGUCUUCGAGGACGAUAAAGCCCCCGCAACGGUUCACACUUUUACUGAAUUACAUUUUGUUGACAGAUGGUGGUGAACCGCUAACUUAUGAAGAAUCCUUACAAGAUGGAAACUCAAGCAAGUGGGAGUUAGCCAUGAAGGAUGAGAUGAGUUCGUUGCUGAAGAACAAGACUUGGGAGCUAACCACACUGCCUGAAGGAAAAAAGGCUUUACAAAACAAGUGGGUUUACAGAGUGAAGACUGAGCAUGACGGAAGCAAACGGUUCAAGGCAAGACUUGUUGUAAAAGGGUUUCAACAAAAGAAAGGCAUCGACUACUCUGAGAUAUUUUCUCCAGUUGUGAAGCUCACAACAAUCAGAGUUGUUCUGGGGAUAGUAGCUGCAGAAAAUUUACAUCUUGAACAGUUAGAUGUAAAAACAGCAUUCCUUCAUGGUAACUUGGAGGAAGAUAUUUACAUGCAACAGCCAGAGGGGUUUGCAAUGCAAGGAAAGGAGAAUCAAGUCUGCAAGCUACAGAAAAGCCUAUACGGUUUGAAGCAAGCUCCAAGACAGUGGUACAAGAAGUUUGACAACUUCAUGUGCAGUUCCGGGUAUACAAGAUGCCAAGCUGAUCAUUGUUGCUAUGUCAAACAUUUUGACAACUCCUACAUCAUUCUACUAUUAUAUGUAGAUGAUAUGUUGAUUGCAGGAUCCAGCAUUGAGGAGAUUGAUAAGUUGAAACAUCAGUUGUCAAAACAGUUUGAAAUGAAGGAUCUGGGAGUUGCUAAACAAAUACUUGGCAUGAGAAUCUUCAGAGAUAAAGACAAAGGCGUACUAAAGCUUUCACAAACAGAGUAUGUCAAGAAGGUUCUCAGCAGGUUUAGUAUGGAUAAUACUAAACCAGUAAGUACACCACUGGGGAAUCAUUUCAAGCUCAGCAAAGAUCAGUCACCAAAAACUGAGCUAGAAAGUGGAUACAUGGAUAAGAUUCCAUACGCCUCAGCUAUCGGCUCUUUGAUGUAUGUUAUGGUCUGUACCAGACCAGACAUUGCCCAUGCAGUGGGAGUUGUAAGCCGAUAUAUGAGCAAUCCUGAAAAGCAGCAUUGGGAGGCGGUCAAAUGGAUCAUGAGGUACUUAAAAGGUUCAUCGGAAACUUGUCUUAGUUUCACAGCUGGUGGUUUGAAACUUGAAGGUUUUGUAGAUGCUGAUCUAGCAGGAGAUGUUGAUAGCAGAAAGAGCACUACAGGAUAUGUUUAUACUCUAGGAGGUACUGCCGUUUCAUAGAGUUCUACCUUGCAAAAGAUCGUUGCUCUUUCAACAACAGAAGUUGAAUAUGUUGCAGUCUCAGAAUCUGCAAAAGAGAUAGUAUGGUUGCAGAGUUUCUUGAAAGAAUUGGGCAAGUUGAAUGGAAAGGGUACUUUGUAUAGCGACAGUCAGAGUGCAAUCUUCCUUGCCAAGAAUCCAGCAUUUCACUCCAGGACGAAGCAUAUUCAGAUCAAAUAUCACUUCAUCCGACAACUGCUGGACGACGAGCAACUAAUACUAGAAAAGGUCUGUGGAAGCAAGAAUCCAGCUGACAUGUUAACCAAAGGAGUUACACUUGAUAAACUGAAGUUGUGUAAAACUUCAGUUGGCCUUCAAGGAUAAAAAAAAAAAAAAAAGGAUUUCAUUGCUUGUCUCCAAGUGGGAGAUUGUUAGCAUUAUGGAGACAGCAAUGACCCACCAUGUGCAAGUGGGAAUACCUAAUUCCCCUUUUGCACAUGGUGGAGGACACAAAGUGGAGGCAACGGUGGGCAUCAAUCAUGCCCCUUCAAUCAUCCAUUGUAUAUGUAUAGCUAUGUGUGUGUGUGUGCUUAGGUGUGUAUGAAGAACACAGAGAGCAGCGUGAGAAACACAGAGAGAAGAGAGAACAGAGAAGAAUAGAGAGAGCUUGAGAGAGUUUUAUCUCCUCCUCCUUUGUUUGUAUUGUUUGUAAGCUUCAUUAAUACAAACCAGUAGCUCCGUGGAGUAGGCAAGUUGCCGAACCACGUAAAUUUGUGUGUGUUUGAGUUCUGGAAUGGCCCAACAGUUCCUGCAUCAUUUUUCUGUCUACUUCCAGGUGAAAUGUAAAAGCGGAUAGCUUUACAAAUUUAAGAUUACCUUCAGAACAAGCACUCAGGCACUCAACAGGUUUCCUGGAAAGAUUGGCCAGAUAGAAUCAUCAGCUUAUUUAAAAGAAAGGACAGAGAAGAAGAAAAUAAAAUGAUCUAUGUUUUAGAUAUUUAUCAAAGUAGAAGCUUACGAAUAGUUCCCUCCCCAAGUACUUUUGAACAGAUUUCUGGCAAGACACGAAGAGUUAAGUUUUGUAGGUUAUGAAGUGAACGGUGAUGUGAAAAGAAGCAGACUUUCAAAAUCAAAGGCAAGGAAAGGAAAAUGAAAUCAAUCUUACAGUGUUUCUCUACAUUUUGCUUCCGAAGUAAAAUUGUUGUAAGAAAGAUCGAUUUCGCUGCACACAAAGAAAGCUUCCUUAAACAUUCAGCCAGUAUUUCUGAUUUUUUUGGAAAAUUGCAUGCACAUGUUAGCUUUUGGUUGCUAUCUCAAUGCAAUAGAUAUGAAUAGACAGAAGAGAUGAAGACAGUUGGGAUAUAAAGAACAUGUCCUCACCUCACGUCUUUUCUGAUUUUAACAGAUAAAAAUUCAAUCCAAAACUAUACAAAUUUAUUUUUAUAUCUUCAUCUUCGUCACUGUAUUUGUCCUUUCUAUUCUAGGACAAUAACUAAAUGAAACCUUGGAGAUAGUUUGAUCAUUCGUGCACAGCUGUACUGAAAACUAUCUGGAAACUGGGAAGGAUAAUCUGAUUUCCAGCUUAUCAUCAGUAUAGCUCUUCAAAGACUAGGACAUAUUAUUAAACCUACAGACACGCAUCUGUUAUAGGAUAAGGGAAACCUGAAGUUCAUGAUUAAGAUUUUGGGUUGAGAAUGUUCCGAUAAAGGCGAACUGAAGUUGAUCAUUUCUGUCUUUCAGGGGAGAGUUCAUGGAUAAAAUAUUCAAUAAUUCUAAUUGAGUAAAAAGAAAAUAUAUUACAAACAAAAAUCUCAAAAAUCAUAAUUUAUAUACAGAAAUUAAGAAAAAACUAACAUACUAGCGAGUAUCUCUUUUCUCGAUCCAAUCUGGGAUGGGCCCUGUAAGCAUGUUCCUUGUAAGAUACCUAUGCAGAAAGUAAAAAUUGUCAUUUGGUUGAACAUUUGUCCAAGGCUAUCAUUGUAAAAGACUGUCUGGAGGACAAGUUUAUCACCAUAAUUGCUGUACUCUACCAUGAGAAUAACUUGAAAAAGAUUGAGCUAUCGGAUCAGCUCUGGUCAACAUUUUUAUUAAAAAAAAUUAAUUUUGUUCCAUUCUUUUCACAAGAUAUUGACCCGAUCAGGUUUGGACAGUGUUUGGCCAGGUUGAAUAGUUUGACAGUUCAAUGUCUUGUGUGGUUCAACUAGAAUCUUGGCCCUGGUCAUGCUCCGAGUCCUGGAUUUUCUUGGACUAGUUGUCUAACUGGUUUAGGUUUAAUAAUUAUGCUUUCAUAUGGCAAACAUUAAUUUCAGAAGGUAAUAUAAUAUAGUAUACUUACAUUUUCUCCAAGCUUUUUAGGCCAUCAUAAUUUGUUGGAAGAGGACCAUUUAAUCUGUUGAAACUGAGAUCCCUGAUUACGAAAAGAAGGGGAAAAAAAAAAAAGGGUAAAGACCAUGGUUCGUAAUGCAUUUUGAAAGUUAUUUACAAAAAAUAAUGUAGCUGCAAUCUCUAAGUAUCCAUGAGAUUCACACUUCAAUCUUCAUGUAGAUGAAUGACAGAAUGGAUGAUAUACAAGGGAUAGAGAAAAUUACAAAAUUUUCAGCUGUGCCAUUCCGGUCAAAUAUUUGGGAAAAUUUCCUGACAAGUUGCAGUUGCUCAACAGCCUGCAAUAUACAUUAAUUUCAUGUACGCUAAAUAUAUAUGCUGUGUUGUAAAUUAAAUAUGAGAGUAUCAGCUGCAAGAAUAACUCACAGAUACUUAAUGCCUUUUAUAGAUUCUAGGUGGGGAAACUCUGAACCAUCUCCGAGUAAGUUACUUAUUUUUCUGCUCAAUAUUAGGCAACAUAUAAAUGUGAGAUGUUCAGGAUUAAAGUUGUAACUGAGACCAUAAAUUUAAAACAAAUAUCUUACAGAUCAGUUAGAUUAGUCAAGUGAGAGAUGCUUGAAGGAAUGGGUCCAGUGAAACCACCAGCUUGGAUCUCUCUGUUAAUACAAAAUUAAAGGGGGAUUAGGGUUCUGCUUCAGUGAUGAGAUUCGGAGCUUGUGGUAGAAACUAGCACAUACAAUGUAUCAAGUUGUUUCCAGCUCUGAAUAAAAUCAGGUAUUCUUCCAGUGAAGUUAUUGCUGCUAAGCCUUCUGCAUUCGCCGAACGGAAAACACAGAAUCAUGAAACUUGGAGAGUAAAGAGAUGCAUCUGUAAUAUCAAAUACUGCAACUAAUGAGUUUGAUACACAAUAACCAUGAGAAAUGAGAACCUACAGUUCCUUCAAUCCGGUAAGAUUAGUCAGAGCCGAGGGUAACUCUCCAGUGAGAUAAUUGGCACUGAGAGUUCUGCAAUCACAAAAGGAGAAAAACACUUAGCAUUCAAUAAUCAGUUAGGACUUAAUUUCUAAUACAAAAGCUUGAAUGAACUGACAGAUUCUCCAGGUUAACCAAGCCUCCAAGCUCAGGGGGAACAGUUCCGGAAAACAUAUUGUCCUGAAUGUUCCUGCAUAAAUGCCAACUCUCAGGAUUACUCCUGACUAAACAAUUGAACAGAUUUAAAUAUGAAAAAAAAAAAAGACAAGAUAUUGACUAGUAGAAAAAUGCAUACAGGUAACUAAGUGUGGUAAUCCUUCCCAGAUAGCUAGGAAUUUUUCCUGUCAACUGAUUCACGCCGAUAGACCUGUAGUUUAUACAACCUAUUAAUUAUGAGUAAGCAAUUCCUUGGCUAGAAAACAUGAAUGCAGAAUUUUCUUACAAUGUUUCCAGCUUGGUAUUAGCCCAUUCAGAUGGUAUAUUGCCACUCAGGUAGUUGGCAUAAAGAACUCUGCAGAGCCGAUAAAGUUCUAAUAAAACCGAAUCAUACGAUGCAAAUUCACGGUGCUCAAUCUGUAGAAACGUAAUAAUUUGAAGCACUGCUUACAGAUGUUUAAGGUGUGGAAGUUUCUCGAUAGCCUUUGGGAGAGUACCGUCAAGAUCUUGCCUUUUGAGAUAUCUGCAUUGCAAGAACACAUGGACCCAUCAACUCCUCAGUACAAGGUAAGAAUUCAAAACUUUCAACCAUUACAAAUCAACAAUCAUAUGUCAAGAAAAUACAAGACAUAACUACAACUUUUAUUACUUAAUGUUUUUAUAUAAUUUUACUGCUAAUGAAUUGCAUCUGAAUUUCUCAAAAUAAAAUUAUUUUUUAACUUGAAAUAUAAUGCAUAUUAGAUGAUAUAUUUUUUAAAUAUUUAUACUGUGAUAUAUUGGAUGAUAUUUUUUUUCAAAUAUUAAGACAAUAAUAUAUUGAAUCGAUCUUAGUUAACAUGUCAAGUUUGUAACCGAGGAUUAUGUUAACCUUAUAGAAAAAAAAUUAAAAUAAAUUAUGAAGGUCAAUUACUAAUCAAUUUAAUGUUAAAUGAUAAAAUAAAAUAAAAACAAAAAAAGCUACCCAAGUCAACCACGGUCAACCUCCAAACCCACAACUCGAGUCAUGAGAUCGGGAUAACUCAAAAGAAAAAAAUUAAAAAAUAUAUGAAGCUCAAUUUCUAACCAACCCGAUGUUGAAGGUUGAAAUUCUACAAAAAAUCAAUUAAAAAAUAAAAAAAACCUAAGUUGACCCGGGCUAAUCUAUUAAACUUGUAACCUGGGACAAGAGACAAAAUAACUUCAUAAAAAGCAAAUAAAAAAUUAUAAAGCUCUAUUUCUAAUACAUCUAAUGUUGAAAGUUGAAAUCAAGAAAGAAAAAAACCAAAUCAUUUAGACCGAAAUAACUCAACAGAAAUCAAAUUGAAAAAAACUAAAAAACUCGAUUCUCAAAAAACCUAAUAGUGGAGGAUAAAAUUGAAAAAAUAAUUGUUGUUGAAGGGUUAAAUAAAAAAAUAAUUAAAAAUAACUAAAAAAUGAACCGAAUCAAUCCAAGUUUACCUAUCAAACCCGUGAUCUAGGUAAUAAGAUCGAGAUAACCUCAUAGAAAUUAAAUAAAAAAAUAACUAUUCCCAAUUAAAAAAAUAUUAAAUUUAGAAAAGAUAAGAAAAAGUAAAAAAAUAAAUUCGAGUUAAUCUGUUAAACCUGCAACUAGAAUCAUAAAAUUAAGAUAAAUUUAUAAAAAUAUAUAUAUAAAAUGCCACUACCUAACAUAUUUAAUGUUGAAAUUUUUGAAAAAAAAUUAAAUACAUGAUAUUGGUAUAUAACUUAAUAAAAAGAAUCGAGCAAAAUUAUGAAGCAUUAUGAGUGUGACUGCUUAGCCACACAGUUAGUAAUUUGUUAAUUCCCUGGACUGUCCCCAUCAGAAUCCUUCAGGCCUCAAAUUAAAAUUGAAAAUAAAAGCAUGGAGUGGUAAGUGAAGAGAUAUACAUGGCAAUAACGUGGCACGGUUCCCCAGGAACUGAGCAAUUGCAAACAACUUUAUUGUCAGCUUCUAGCUUUCGAGGUAAAAUUGUAUCAUUGCACAGUGUCAUAUUGCGAUUCCAGCCUUUUUUGCCCAGUUGUGUUGCUACUUCAAGCAGAGCUUCCACUGCAUAAAUCAAAAUUAAAUCUCAACUUCUAAUUCUGGGAUGAUUAGUUGCAGGUGGCUUCUACAAUGCCUUGCCAAGUAGUAACAUGGUUACAGAAUUAAUUCGGCAAUACAAUCAAAUUUGAUGACUGUAUUAUUGAACGGUAUAUGACGCAGUGAGGACUUUGCAGAUAAAAAAACUCCUGCUAGAAGGCAUUACAACUGCAUGUCUUCCUCUAAACAUUAAAGAAUCUGCCCAUCUGAACCAAAUUAAAAAUAUAUAUAUGUACCUUCAUCAGGAGCAAGGUUCCCAACUUGGGCCUCCAAGUUAAUUGCUCCCAUGCAAAACAUUAGUAACAUAAGCAUAAGUAAGCUAGAUGUGACUCUCAAAAUAUCAGAGAGUGCAGUAGCCAUCUUCCUUAGUCUGCAAUCCACUUUAAGAGUUAGCAGGCUGCCUGGAGAGAGCUUUAUGCAUCUUUAUAUUUGACCUUUCAGGAUGAUGUGGGGUAAGCCCACACUUCAAGAAUACCGUUGUCUGUCCUAGACGGCUGGACCACUUGUGCCUUUCCAUUUUUAUUCUUAUAUCCUAUUUAUUUUUGUUUGUGUUGUGAAAAUAUUUAAAGGAAAAAUUUUCUUUAAAUUAUUAUAUUUUUAAAUUAUUUUGAUAUGCUAUAUCAAAAUUAUUUUUUAAAAAAAAUUAUUUUAAUAUAUUUAUAAAUAAAAAAUAUUUUAAAAAAUAACUACGAACAUCUUCUCCGAUAAUCCUUAGUCAACAGAAAAACUCCUAAAUAUAUCCUUAGUCAACGGAAAGAUUGGUAGGUCAAAAUAUAUAUAUAUAUAUAUAUAUAUAUAUAUAUAUAUAUAUAUAUUGGCAAAUUGGAGAGGAAGUAUCCGACAAUAUGAAAGAAGAAUUUUACGUUCAAAAAGGGAGAAAAGAUAGGCUAUAUAAUUCUUUGAAUCCACAAAACCAUCAAAGAGACUCAUUGUAUAUAAAGAUUUCAUAUUCCAUGCAGCCUCCCUCGUUGUUUCUUAAAAAGAUGGUAUAUCAGCGUUUUAUUACAUAUUAUUUAAUUAUUAUCACGUGAUAAUAGAAACAGUAACAAAAAAACCAAAAAUAUAUUUAGUUGGCUAGUAAAAAUAAAUUUGUCUCUUAUAUAAUUUUAUGGUGAAUUCACUACUAGAAAAUUAAUAAAUAUAAAUAAAAAUAUUGAAAAAAUAUUUUUAUUGGUAAAUUUUUUUUAUUACCAACAGACUUACCGACAAACAAAAAAUUACCGAUGAAAAAUUCACCGACGGAGCAUUUUCGUUGGUGAUCUUAUUGAUAAAUUAAUUACCAACGGAAUGAUACUGCAAAUAUCGAUUAAAAAAUCUGUCGUAAAUGUAAAGAUUGUGGUAGUGAUUUUUGUAUUUUCAAAAAAAAUAUAUAUAUAUAUUUAGACAUAAUAUUUUUUUAUUUUUUAUUUUUAAAAUAUCUUUGUAAAAUAUAUUUAUUAAUCCAAUUGUAUUGAAUAAUCUCUCAAAAUGAAAUACCUUAAAAGAAUAUCAUUUCAAAGUUGGAUUCCUACCGGUCUCUCCUGGGUGGCUCUAUGAGAUUCCAUGUGUUUUCCUAUGCUUUUAAUAUGAUGAAAAUUUAGCACGUGUUGGUUUUCUAGUCCUCCACAAUAUUUGACCAAAAUAUUAAAAGACUAGGGUAUUGAACCUAGCUCUAAUAUUUUAAAUGUAAAAAAAUAAAAUAGAAAUUUAUAUGUAUUUUUUAUAUUGCAAUAGAAAAAGGGAGUUUUUAUAAUUAAGCUAUUCUAUUACAAGGAGUCUGGGUAUAAAAAAAAAAAACUAAAAAUAAUUACAAGAAAAUUAUAUUAAAUAAAAUAUAUUCUCUUUGAAAGAACAUAUAUUUCGUAACACAUAGAGCAUUCUCCAUCAUUUUGUCCCUGCUAUAAAACAAAUGGUUGCCUCGGUUUUCCUCCACCACUUGAACAUAUAACAGUGAAUAUCGCACCAAGCUUCUAGCCCAGCGGCAGAGGUAAGUUUUCUUACCUCUGUCUGGGUUCGAGCUUUAGCGUGCAGUCUGUUACCCCCGCGAUAUUUUACCUGUCUAUUGAACUUGCAGGGUAUUCAGUGGGUCCGGGGAUUAGUUGUGGUGCGCGUAAGCUGGCCCGAACACCCCAGGUUACCAAAAAAAAAAAACAGUGAAUAUCCUAAUAUUGAGAGAUAGCUCAACUAGUUAGGUCUUGAAUUUUUGCUUCCUAAUAAUUAUAAGUUUGAAUUUUUUCAGGGCCACUGAAGAUUUAUAUGAUUAUUAACUUCAGGACCUGUGAAAUUAGUGAAAAUAUGCAUAAACUGAUCCGGAUAUCUAAAUUAAUAUAAAAAAACAGCUAACAUCAUAAGUUCAAGCAACAGCAUAUACAUCGUGAAAUGGUUUGUUGAAGGACUAAAUUGUGACUAUUCUCAUUGUUCAGGAGCAAAUGUUUACUUUACCCUCAAAUCAUAAUCCAAUAAAGCAGUCCCGAACAACCAAAUUAAAGUAAGGCCGCGUUUGGGAACAUGGGCACUACUUCCCAAACAUAGUCAUCUAAGCAUCUUGUCAACCACUUUAAACAAACAGGAAUAAGCAAUGUAUCACAAGUUUAUAUAUAUCGCUAUGAAUAGCAGAAAUUAUUAAGUUCUUAUUGAUUGUUUUAUGUAAUUAUCUGAACUGUGUUAUUUAAUAAUUUUGAUGAGUUAAUAUAAGAAAAACAUUAUUAAUAAAAACAAAUUUUUAAAAAAAAAAAAAAAAUUAUUUACUUCGCCAAGCCUAAAAGGCUGAUUGUUUCCAUUAUAUAAUAAUAAUAAUAAUAAUAAUAAUAAUAAGACACUAAAAUGGUAUACAAAGUCAAAAGAUCUUAAUUAAUACAAAAAAAAAAUUUAUAGCUACACAAAGAAAAGAAUUGAAAGAAGUUUUUAUAAUUAAAAAAUAUUUUAAAAAAACUAAAAUACCAAAUACACAAAGCAUCGAGAGAAGUUUUUAUAUAUUUUUAGCUGAAAAAUAUUUUUGAAAAACCAAAAUAUCCUUCCAUUAAUGAAAGCAAAUCAUGUUCCUUGCCUCCUUCCAGCUGCGAAAUCACAAGUCCAUAGCCAGAUUAACAAAAACCUGCCACAGGCUGGUAUGGAGACAGAAGGACAAUAAUGCACGAGACGUCGGCCAGUAGGGACUCAAAUCUUUCAACUGAUCUUGCUUGUUUGAUUCUGUGUUGUAUGAUUUUUAAAAAAUAUAUUUUUUAAUAAAAAAUAUAUUAAAAUAAUAAUUUUUAUUUUUUAUAUUAAAACAUUUAAAAACAAUUAAUUUAAUAUUUUAAAAUAAAAAAUACCCCAUAUCCUGAUGGCUAUUGACUUCUAUUGACUUGGUACAAGCGUUCAGAUAAGUCUUGUCAAUGCUCUCUAGUUAGGUGACAUAUAGAGUAAUUAAUGUUUGAUUAAUCUUAUUCAAAAAAUUAAAUGAAUGAUUGAUUUAUCUAUGCAAUAUUUAAAAGAUAUACUUUUUCAACCAUUAAAAUAGUAAUCAGAUUUUCAAGGUGUUUGUUCAUCUGCUUGAACUGAAGUUUAAAAAAAAAAACAAUUAAAAAAAAAUUUGUUUUUAAAUUAUUUUGAUGUACUAAUAUUAAAAUAAAUUUUAAUAAAUAAAAAAUAUUAUUUUAAUAUAUUUUUAAAUAAAUAUUAUUUUAAAAAAUAAUAUUUAUUACUGUUUCAAAUAUCCCCAAUGUCUUUUCUUUUUAGAGGAUUGAGGUUUCCAAUUUUAGUUGGGAAAAUAAGAGAUACAUAGAUAACAACAUCAUUUUAUUAUUUUAUCCUCCUAGCUCUAUCUUCUUCUGGGAAUCGUAAGUUUUGAUUUGUUUUGAAAGAACAAAUAAAAGUAAAAUGUUAUUCUAAGCUCCUAAAAUAAUAUUUAAUUGGGAAGGUGCUGAUAUUGCAAGUUAAAGGUCAAAGUUUGAAUAAUAGGUAAAGUGAUUAGAGUUUUUUUUUUAAUUUAGGACGGUGAAAGGAAAAAAUAACACAAUUAGAAUUAUUAAAAAUAAUUUAAUAAGCUAUUAGCAUAUUAACCCACGCUUCAGAGUAGUUCGAUAACAUUUUUUAUAUAUAUAUAAACUCAAUAUAAAGAGUAUAGAGAAUAUUUUAAGCGUUUUGAGUCUGAUAACUAAUCCAGAUCCAAUAGUCUUGGGUCUAGCAGUCAUGUCAGACCCAAAUGCUAUUGAGUCUGACUGCGGAACCACACUCAAUAGCAUUAAGUCCUGCGGGAAUACUAGACCCAAUAGUAUUGGGUCUGCUGUCGAGCCAAAUCUCAUAUUCUUGGAUCUUACUGCCUAUCGAGGCCCAAUAUCCUAGGGUUUGGCAGCCGAGCCAGAUCCAAUAACUUUGAAUCUGGUUGCGGAGCCGGACCCAAUAACAUUGGGUCUGAAAUUGUGGUGCAAAAUAUUUUUUUAAGAGUAUUUUUUACUUGAAAAUAAUUUAGAUAAUUUUUUUUUAUUUUUAACAACACCACCUCAAAAUUUUUAAAAAAAAAUGCUAAAAAAAUACAUCAAAAUAUAAUAUUGUUUCAAGAUAAAUACACUUUUAAAAUAUAAAAACAAAUAACUUUUAAAGAAAAAAUGACAGAAAACGGAUUAAGUGUGUGUGUGUGUGUGUGUGUAAAAAAACUUAAUCACAUUUUCCAUAUUAAUUAAAACAAAUAUGCAUUGGGUCAAAAAAUGUAAAAAUUGUAAAUAUAAAGAUGUCAUUAGGUCCGGCUGGACAGCUAAGCCCAACCAGAUCCAAUAGCAUUGGGUCUGGCUGUCGAGUUAGACUCAAUAUUAUUGGAUUCGGUUAGGUAGUCAGGCCCAAGACUAUUGGUGGUUGGAUUCAAUUGCAUUGGGUCUGGCGGUCAAGUUAAAUCCAACAACACUUUUUGAUUAAAAAACAAAAAUAUAGUAGCAUUUUUUGACUAAAAAAUAGAAAAGACAACGUCCCCUGAUUCUACAAUAUUGUCCACAGUGUAAAUAAUCUAUGUCUAUAGCGUGGUCUAUAGUAUAAUAAAUUUAUGUACACAAUACUUGUACAGUGUUUUUCCAUGCAUUUUAAAGUAUAGUAUAAUAAUAACGUCUUAUUUGUGACAGAAAAAGCCUCUAAAAUUAUAAAAAUCAAUCUAUAAAAGUCCAAUAAGCUUCAUAAAAUAGAUUUGUCAUUUGUGAGAUUUGUUUUAAAUGUGGUCAAUUGUCGUGUGGUCCAUCGAAACUGUAUGGCCAAAGCUAAAAUAAUGCGAAUAGUUGUCGGUUUAACAAGUGGGCUAAAGGUCUCAAAGUACCAUGAAAGACAAACAAAAAAGAAGAUGGUUUUGGAAAAAAGUACACAAACCAUGUAUAUCAUUAUCAUUAUAUAGAUGUUACAGUUGUAGUGAUAAACAUUACAAUAACAGCAACCAUAAUUUUCAGAAUAAUCACAAUAGAGUUUAAGUUUAAACCUAACAUAGUAAAGUUUGAAAAUUAAGUAUCCUGGUUUGUAGGGAGCACGGGAUUGAUAUCUUUAACACCUUCCCUCAAAUUAGUGGGUAAAGAACAAACCAAUAAUUUUUCAAGCAGAAUACAAACUAAUCAGCAGUGUGGCCCUUGGUGAAGAUAUCUGCAACUUGAUUGCAGGUGUUAAUAUAUCGAACAACCACAUCUUUGUUAACCACCUUCUCUCAAUUAAAAUGAUAAUCAAUUUCAAUAUGCUUAGUUUGCGCAUGGAAAAUAAGAUUUGAAGCCAAAGACAUAGCACUGAGAUUAUCACACCAAAGUGUAGGUGGUGCAAAUAAAUGUGCAACUCUCGCAAAAGCAUACAUAUCCAAUAUACUUCAGCUGUCAUUAAUGUCAAGCUUCAAUACUCUGCUUCAGUACUAGACCUGGAGACAAUAGGUUGUUUCUUAGAGGACCAAGAAACUAAACAUUGUCCAAUAUAGAUGUCAUAGCCAUUUGAAAAAUAUCUAUCAGGAUUACCCGCCCAGUCCGCAUAAUAAAAAGCAUGUAAGGCAACAAUACUUGGUUUAUAGUGAAGACUAAAAUCGACAGUAUGCUUUAAGUAACAAAGAACUCUCUUGGCCAAAAUCCAAUAGGUACUAGCAGGUGCUUGAAUAUGUUGACAUAACUGAUUGACGGAGUAUACGAUAUCAAGACAUGUAAUGGUAACAUACUGGAGGGCCCCAACAAUAUGCCAAUAUUCAAAGGGAUCAAUUAAGAGAUCACCAUCAAAUUUUGACAUUUUUGACCUAGAAAUGCAGGGAGCCUUGUAAGGUCGAGCACCUAUCAUAUUAGCGUGAUCAAGAAAAUCAACAAUUUAUUUAGAUUGACAUAAAUGUCCUUCAUCACAAACUUAUAUUACAGUUGUGAGAUAAUAGAUAAAAUUAUCGAAUCAUCAUUGCUAGUGACGAUAAUAUCGUCAAAAUACACUAAUAUAUAAAUAUGCAAUUUAUCUCUAUAAAGAGUGAAGAAAGAGUAGUCAACGUGUGAACUAGAGAAACCAAGAUCAACCAGUGCAUGUGAGAGGAGAGUGAACUAAGCUCGUGGUGCCUGUUUAAAGCUAUAAAGAGAACGAUGCAAUUGACAUACAAAGGUAGGAUGUUCAUCAAUGAUAAACCCUUUUUGGUUGCUCCGUAUAAACUUCCUCGUCAUCAAGAUAUCCUUGGAGAAAAGCAUUGGAAACAUCUAGUUGUCAUGUGGUCGAUCAAAAUUGUACAGCCAAAGCUAAAAUAAUAGGAAUAGUUGUUGGUUUAACAAUUGGGCUAAAGGUCUCAAAGUAGUCGACACCAAACCUCUAAUCAAAUCCUUUGGCGACUACCCUCACCUUGUAAUGAUCAAUGGAGUCAUCAGGUUUCUGUUUGAUCUUGUAAACUCAUUUGUUGCGGAGAAUGUGAUGGGAAGAAGGUCGUGGACAGGGUGACCAUGUAUUGUUGUCCAAUAAUGCCUUGAACUCAGAUUCUAUAGCUGCACGUCAUUCCAGUUUUGGAGACUGCCUAUGUAAAAGUGUUAGGCUCAGGAUGGAUGACAGCUGUAUGGAAUAGGUGAAGUGGAUGUUAUGAGGAAUAAUAGGUCACAUAGUUAGGAAACUAGCGAGGCUGAGAAUGCCCUGUUUGUGAGCGAGUAACAAUAUGGGGAACAAGGGAGUGCUCGACAGAUGGGUUUGAAUAAACUAAGGGAUCAGACGAUUCAAUGAUAGUGGGAUAGGGUGAAGAAUUAUGGGGCACAGUUGAAAUUUAAAUAAAUGAUGAGAUGAGUGACACAGGGGAAUCGAGGGGCUCAUGAGGUUGGGGUAAAGGAUGUGAAGUUGUUGCAGGUUGAUCUGUAGAAGAGUUUAUUCAAUAGGUAGGUGGUGAACCCAAAAACUUAGGGGAAGUUGGAAUUGGAAGGGGAGAAGAAGACGUACCAGUAGAUCUGGUAGGUGGUGAACCCAAAAAAUUCAAAGAAAUUGGAAUUUGAAGGGGAGAGGAAGACAUACCAGGAGGGAUCAUGACACCAACAGGAGAGUGAUUUGGGAUCUUUAUUUUGGCUGGAAAAUAGUUUUCAUCAAACACAACACUGCGAGAGAUGUAAACACACUCACUUAUGGAAUCAAGGCGCCUAUAACCCUUUUGACCGGAGCAAUAACCAAUAAAAAUACACGGGAUACUACGAUAUGACAAUUUGUUUUCAGCAUAUGGACGUAACAAAGGAUAACAUCUACAUCCAAAGUUUCGUAGAAAAGAAUAAUCAGGUGCAUUUUUGUAUAGUUUGAAGAAAAGGAGUAUCAUUAUUUAGAACUAGCGUAGGUAACCUAUUGAUUAAAUAUACGAUAGUUAAAAAUGAUUUAACCUAAAAUUUCUUAGCAAGGCCAGAUUGUGCAAGUAAAGUGAGGCUCAUAUCAACAAUGUGGCGAUGUUUUCAUUCUGCAAUAUCAUUUUGUUGAGAAAUAUAUGGACAUGUUUGUCUAUGAAAAAAACCAUUUUCUAUGAGAUACCAAGUAAAAAGUGCGGAAAUAUAUUCUCCACCGUUAUAGGUUUGUAAACGUUUAAUAAAGGAUGAAAAUUUUUUUUCCACAAGUAGCCGAAACUGAACAAAAAAAUUGAAGACAUCAGAUUUAUUUGCAAUUGGAUACAACCAUGUAAAUCAACUAAAAUCAUCAAUAAACGUUAAAUAAAAUUUAAAACCAUUAGGUGAGAUACGAGGUGCAACCUAAACAUCCGAGUGGACCAGAUCUAAAGGACCUGAUGUCUCACGAUAAGGGGAGGAAAAAGGUUAUUGAAUGGAUUUUCUAAGCUGACAAGAUUCACAUACAAAGCUCUUUUGCACUGAACCAACAAGAGGUAAAUUAGAAUUAGAUAAGACAUGAUGCAAGACAGACUCAGAUGGAUGACCUAAGCAUUGAUGCCAAAAGGAGUUGGGUACCUUAAUUCCUAUAAAGGCAAUUAACCCUCUGUGCUUAUUAUGUGAUAAGUUGGCGAGAUUGAUAGGAUAGAGCUCAUUUUCACUCGGACCCUGAAAAAGCAUGGUUCCUGUCUAAUUGUCCUGAACCGAAUAGGCAUUAUGUGUGAGAUGGAAAGUAACAUCAUUAUCGACAUAAAAUUUGUUAAUAGAAAAAAGAUCAGUAGCAUCUUGAGGACAAUGAAUAAUAUUUUUAAGAAGAAAGCGAUUGUUAUGAGAGUGGACAAUGGAUAAACUAGUAUUUUUAAUAGACAAACUUACACCAUUACUUACACCAACAAUCUCAUUACCAUCAAACGGGCGUUUGGAAUCAAGAUUCUCAACAUUAUUAGUUACAUAUGCAUUAGAACCACUGUCCACAAGCUAUUGACAAUUCAGAAAUUCUGCAUUAAUAUCAGCAACCAUGGCUGCUAGGUCUGUAGGAGGAUGACGUCAUUAGAAAGAAAAAUCCAUUCGCCGAAAAUAGUCCAAUACCUGAUGAUUAUGUCCUUUGCAGAUCUAGCAAGGGGAAUGACCACCAAAGUUGAAAACAGAACGAACAUCCUUGGUAGAUGUGGAGGAGGCAAGUUUAAGAGGAAAGUUCGGCUUUGUAGCGUUAGUGUUUGAAAACCCAGAAAAGUGGAGUUUAUGUUUCACAGGCUGAAACUUUGGUCGAUUGGUGAAUAAAGCAAAGGAGAACGUUUCUGGCGCAGGAUUUAAUGAAGCAUGACGGUUUAGAAUUAUUUCAUGAUUCAGCAGCUCAGACCUGAAAUCAAAAAAUGACAUAAAAGUCUCCCGAGUGUGAAAGGAGUAAGAGAUAAUAAAUUGUGUAAAAGUAUGAUUAAGACCCCCAAUAAUAAAGGAUAUGAGAUCGUCAUCAUCAACUAGUUUUCCAAUGGCAAAUAAUUGAUCUGUUAAGAACUUGGCUUCAACCAGAUACGAAGCACAAGUCAAAGAACCUUGUUGGAGAUUCUAUAGCUGACGUUUCAAGUGGGAGAUGUGGGAUUUUGAUUGAGAAGUAAAGCGAGCAGCAAGAGACUGCCAUGCUAAAAACAAAGAGUCCAAACCAUAAAGGGGAGCCACUAGUGCAGGAGAAAUAGAGGAGAUGAUCCAACUUAGUAAGAAUUGGUCACGACUCUGCCAAUUGGUGUGGGCAAGAUUUACGGACUUAUUUUUGGCAGCAUUAUCAUCAACAAAGAUUGCAGGACAGAGGAUAGAACCAUCAAUAAAGCCAAGCAGAUUAUGACUCUUGAGAAUAGGUUUAAAUUGUGCAGUACACGCAAGAUAAUUUGUCUCAUCAAGUUUGAUAGAGACAAGUAGGGUUGGAUUGAAGAAAAUAAACUGGGAUAAAGAGGAGAAACCAGACUCAACCAUGUUUUAGAAAAAGCGGAAGCAGGAUCUUUAAAGUAUAAGCUAGAUUUGCUCUGAUACCAUGAAAGACAAACAAAAGAGAAGAUGGUUUUGGCAAAAAGUACACAAACUAUGUGUAUCAUUAUCAUUAUAUAGAUGUUAUAAUUGUAGUGAUAAACAUUACAAUAAUAAUAACCAUAACUUUUAGAAUAACCACAGUAGAGUUUAAGUUUAAACCUAGGUAAAGUUUGAAAAUCAAUUGUCCUGAUUUGUAAGGAGCACAGAAUUGAUAUCCUUUACAUGCAAGUCCAUACUUCUAUCGAGAAGCCUCUAAACUGCUUAUAGUCAUGGGUUUAUUGUAAUGUGCAUAAUUAUUAAACAUGCUUGAGAUGACAUAUUAACAUGGUAAACUUAGAAUCUGACCCAAGUUUUUUUAAUUAAAUAACGAUUAAACUAGUUUAUCAUCAUCAGGUUUUUAGUAAUUCAAUUAAUCAAUUUCACUAAAUUUAAAUUCAACCAGAACUAUAUAUAUAUAUAUAUAUAUAUAUAUAUAUAUAUAAAGAAUUGACUUAAUAACCUCCGCGCAAAUCCAAACUUUUUUUUUUUACUUUUAAUAUCCUAGAUCACGUUUGACAACUAUAGUUGACAUAACUCAUAUGACCGUUUAGGAUCAAAGAAUUUACAUAAAUCUAAUGCUUGACUGCUCUAGCUCUUUGCUGCGAUUUUAAGAACUCCAUGGACCCAUUAUCUUGUAAAAACGGGCUAAGGUGAAAAUACAAUAGCAACAGAUGGGCUUUGCCUUGCACCAUUUUUUUCUCUUCAAAAAGGGUUAAAAGUUUGUGUUUCCAGCAUAGUUGUAAAGCUUCCUGUGCCUUUUUUAAAAAAAUGGUUUUUCGUGUAUUUAUAAGUAUAGGGGGUGCUGAUCCUGAACUUGUUUAAGCACAAGCAAGCAGAUCAACAUCGAGUCUUUAAUGAGAAAUUAUGUAAAGAUUAGAUGUGUUUAUCUAACCAUUUUCUACAUACAAUGUUUUAAUUUAAUCUUACAACUAAAAUUUUGAUGAUGGAUUAUUUUAAAAUGAGCCAUAUCUUGUGGAACUCUCCUUGUGAGUAGAAAGCCAGAAAAUGCAAGAAAAAAAACUAAAAAAUGUGCAUAAAACAAUCUAUGUUGAUAUAUAAUCUAACAAAUUAAUAAAUCAAUCCUUCCUCAUGGAGAUAUAAAGAUGUCAAACAAGCUGAAAUGAAAAGAAAAAUCGAUGUGUGAGAAAACAAGAGAAACAGACUCACAAAAGCAGCAGCGAAAGUGCCAUGGCAACCACCACAUCACAGCCUUUACCCUGAAGUGUCAAGAUCUAUAGCUAAAAUCACACUUUUGACAUUACUUCCAAGACCUCAAGGAGUCUCUUCAGGUUUUUUCUCCCCUACUGUUUCAGUAGUUUUAGUCUCAGUCUCCACAGUUUUUUUCUCCCCUAAUGUUUCAGUAGUUUUGGGCUCUGCUGCUGCUGCUGCGACUUCACUUGUUACUUUUUCUGUCUCUACCUUUACAGGAGCAUUUACAUCUUUUGGUUCAAUUAGCACUACAGGUUCUUCCUUCACUGUUGAUGAUUCUUCUUCAGGCACUUCUGGCUCAGUAGGUUUUUUAGUUUCUGAAGUUUCUGGUUUGACUUCACUUGUUACUUUUUCUGUCUCUACCUUUACAGGAGCGUUUACAUCUUUUGGUUCAAUUACCACUACAGGUUCUUCCUUCACUGUUAAUGGUUCUUCUUUAGGCACUUCUGGCUCAGUAGGUUUUUUAGUUUCUGAAGUUUCUGGUUUCUCUUGUUCUGCUGGUGCCUUGUCACUUUCUUUUGGCUCCUUCCCUUUUUCAUUCUGCAUAGC
rnacentral:lncRNA from 1 species